rnacentral:lncRNA from 1 species
CCAUUCUACCUCGUCGAGACGAAGAUUUUAACCUUCAUAUCUCCGACUAGAAUGACCUUAAAUGGGGGUAUCUGUAAGACCCUAAUUUUGACCCUAAGAUCCCUCAUGGCAUCAUAUCAUUGCUUAUUACAUUGCCUCAAGGAUCAUAGCAUGUUUGGCUCAUUAACCCUAGGGUUGGGACUUGUGUGAGUGGUUUGAGACCACCAAGCAUGCUUGUAUUGUAUAUUAUUGCUUUUCUUAUUUUGAUUAAUAACCAAAAGCACAAAAAUAUGUCACUAACUUUUUUGUUUUGAAGCUCAAAUGAUCAUGUGCUCCCAUGCUCUUAGGAGGCUCUUAAGCUCAAUGAAGUGGCUAGAUGAGAAUGAGAAAAAGCAUGAAAAUGGUCCACCAAGCUCCUAAUCAUCAUAUAUGUACCCCAAGUAUCUCAAUUUUCCAAUUUGAUCAAGAUAACCCAAAGGGCUUAAGGAUUGUUUCCCAAGGAAACCCUAAUUCAACUGUGCAUGAACUGUGCCUUGCUCAGGAAGCAACCUCAACCUAUGAUCAAAUUUAAUCAAGGGAAGUUCUUUAAUUCAUUAUUUUAUGCAUAUAUGAGCUUAUGUGAGGCACCUAAAUCAUUCAUUCAUCAAGAUUUGAAGUUUGGCCUUGAGAAGUUGACCAGUCAAAUCAUCUGACUAAAUUGAGGAUCACUGAGACACAACUUUUAAUGUGUUUGUCAAAUGAAGAUGACCCCAAGAGAACAAAUGUUCUUAAGAACCAUAUGAACAACUUUCAUGUUCAUCAAAAAUACAUUUGAAACUUGGAAGGUCAUCAUUAAUUUCAAAACAUUAUAGGUCAUUUUGACUGAAACCCUAAUUUUGGGUCAACUUCCCAAGGACCUAACUUCCUUAAUUUUUAUGAUAUAUAGGUGAGACCAAAUGCAUUGGAAAGUUUAAUAUGUCUAAUUCAAAUGUUAUGUUGGACAAAAUUUCAUAAUUUUAAAAGAAAUACAUGUGAUAAUACAAAACAUUAUAGGUCACUUUGGACCUAAGUCAUUAAAUUUGAAAAAUGUCCAACUUCAAGUGCCCAUAACUUUCUCAUGAAAAAUCCAAAUGAUGCAAAAUUUAAGUCUAAAUUGAUCAUCUUGAAAAUAUAUACGACUUUGAUGUUGGAGGUUUUUCCAUUUGAGGCUUGCAUCACUGAAACAGAAGGGCUUGAAGAGACUUGGUUUUGGUAAACUUUUUCAAAGGAGAACCUAGACAUGUUUUGUACCCAAACCUUCACAGCCAGUUUUAUUAAAUUUCCAAACUCCAAAUGAAUUUUUUCCUAACAUGACUUUUGUUCCUUAUUUAAAGGGCUUUUCAACCGUUACUCACAUUAAUUUUUUGGACUUUCCAUGUGGGAGUUUCAAAGAGCUUUAUAUUUAUGUUCAUUUUUGCAUUUCACAUUAUAACUUGUGGUGCAAGCUUGUGCAGUCCCUUGUGCACGUCCAAUUCACUUCCAUUUGAUCUCAGCAUGGAUUUUCAUUAAUUCUUGGGACUUACAUGCGCCUGUACAGGCCCAUGCAAGGAGGAUUCAAACUUCAUGCACACAAGGGAAGCAUUGCCUUGCAUCACAUUUCUGCUAUAAAUAAGAGUGCAUUCUCAUUCAAAUGGCAACCAAGUGGAGAUCUGAAUUGCUGCUGAAUUGAAAUCCAAACCCUCACUAAAGGAAUUUUCAGUUUUCCAUUUCCCUUUCAAGCUUGAUUUUCAACAUCAUUAGUUGAUCUUCAAAGCUCAAUUCCUUAACCUAGCAUCACCGUCACACUUCCAAAUCAAAAGUAGAUCAAGAGCUUGGACAAUUCAUGUUGUUUGAAGCUGUAUUUCAGAGGUAGAACCUCAAACUUUUUUGAUUCAGAUCUUGCAAUAUAAUGUGAAUUUCUUUGGUUUGUGUUGUUUUCUGAAGUCCUCAUGCAUGAGGCAGGCCAGUGGUGGUCUUAAUUUUAUAAAUCGUGCCAUUUCAGUUCAUGCACCAUGAUCUUCAAGCUCAUGUUUCUCUCUAAAUAUGAACUGUGAGGAUGAUCCAUGGUUACAGGGGUGAUAUACAUCACCUCAGUUUCAUUUUGAUAUCCUCAAUUUUCAUUUUCAUUAAACUUUAAUUUCCUGCGCGUGGUGGCCGGAUCUGGUUAGAUCGCCGGAGAAGAUGGUGGUUUCCACCACCAUCCACACAUGGGAGCCUCCCAGCCAUUGGAUCGUGUUGCUUUGUUAUUAUCUCACGCGUCCAAUAUAUUGACUUAUUUUAAAUCUUUGUGCCGUGCGUUUGACCAAGGCACACCAUGUGACCGCGCCUCUGAGCCCUUGAUGCCUUGCCACGUCAAUUAAUGAAACCAUUUGAGGGAACUUGUUUUUUCUAUUUUUCUUAUUUUCUUUUUAAUUUCAGUUAAUUCCUUUUAUUUCAAAAAUUCAUAGAUAUUUUAUUUGAAGUCACAAAAAUAUGAGACCAAUGCCAAAACUUUUCUUGAAAAAUCUAGUUUCAUAUUUUGAUUUUUAAUUAUUUUUGUGACUUCAUUUAAUAUUUUUGUGAAUUAUUUGGUUUUUAAUAGUUUUAAUUCAUUUUAAAUUACUUUUUGAUAUUUGAAAAAUCCAAAAAAUAUUUUCCCAACACCUAUGGAUGAUGAUAAGUCAAUGAAAAAUAGUCUCAUCAAUUUCUUAUUUGAUUUGAGAUUUAUUUGAGAUUUUAAUUCAUAUUGUGUUAUUUUUCAUUGUUUUUCAUUGUUUUAAAAUAGUUUCUGAUUUCAAAAAUUGUUGAAAAAAUUGGUCAAAGUUUGUUUGACCAUGUUAGACCUAUGAUAAUUUAAUUGGACUUGUUGAAGUUGAUUUGAAUUGAGUUUGAGGUUUGACCAUAUUUUGUUUAUUUUAUUUUUGCAUUUAUUUUUAAUUCAAAAAAUACAAAAAAUUAUGUUUGACUUGUUGACUUGUAAUCUCCAUUUCUCUUCUGUUUAGCAUUGGUUGAUGAUGACUUGGUUCACAUUUGAUCAAUUGAAUUUGACACUUGAUUUAUCUUUCCAUCAAUUUCAUAUUCAUCCCAUUUCUUUUUAUUUUUGGCCAAUGAGUUAAUGUCUUAUGGUUAGUCUUGACAUAUGAGAGGUUUAACCUUCUUUGAUUCAAACCAAACUCAACUUGAUCCAAGAUCAAGUGAGUUGUUUUGUGUCCAAGAUAGGUUGCUUCUUAGUCAAGCAAAAAACCUAAAGUCCAUAUAAGGCCUUUCUCUUUUCUUUUGGCAUGACAAGUUUGUGGAGCUUGGCUUACUAGUCAUGAUCUCUAACUUGUGUUUAUUUUCCUAUAGUUUUAUUGACCGACCUCAAAUAUGUGUGACUACUACAUUAGUCCACUUACGAUUGCUUAACAUAGCGCUACAUUGUCUUAUGACAAACUAACAUAACCAUACUAAUUACUAAUUUUAAUUUGAGCAUUUAAUUUCUUGCCCUUUACUUUAAUGGACUUUAUUUCUUGCUCAUUUAUUCAUAUUGCUUUUCAUUUUGCUCACUUGAGCACAUAUUUUAUGUUUAUGCCAUUUUCCUUUUUCUCAUUUGAGCUCAUUAUUGUAUAUAAGUAUAUUGUUGUCUUGUGUUAGUUUUGCUUUUGUUUUGUGUGAACCCAAUGCAAAAAGGAAAAAGGACUUAGAAUUAGGACUUACCUAUGCUUAAAGGAGUUCAAGAGCAACUAGGCCUCAUGUCUUUAGAAUGCUAAACUUGUUGAAGAGAAACUAGGCCUCAUGCCUUUAGAAUGCUAAAAGGACCAUUGUGCAAAAAGGACCAUUGUCAUGAAUAGCCAAGUUAAGAGAGACAAGCCAAAUGGAGAUCCUAGGAGAUUGAAUUAAAAUUGUGUGAUUGCUUGUUUGUGUGCUAAGUCCAAAGGAAAGGAGCAUCUUGAAUCAUCUCUAUGAUUUCAAGAAAAGGAACUCCAAGGGUUUUAUCUUUUCUCUCUUAUCCUUAUAUUGUUUUAGGAUUAGCCCUUCUCUUCUUCUCUCCACUCUAACCCAAGCCAAACUCUUUUUUUUCAAAACUUUGACUUUGUUUCAAACUAGAAACCUAGGCCUUAUGCCUUUGACUUUUCAAAAUCUUUUCAUUAAUACUCAUUGUGAAUAAAUCUUUAUCCAACUUUGUUUUCAUUUUGUAAAUAAGUCUAACUUGUAAAUAUAACUCACUUCAAGUUGUUUUUGUGGUUCCAAUGGCCACCUUAUUAAAACUUUUCAAAAAAAACAUUAGUCAUAGGUUUGAGUUAUCAUAGUGGUUGAUGUAAAUCUCACCUCAUCCUUAGUGAUUGGACUAUAAGUAUUCCAUACUUAUUAUAGGGUUAAUCCCUCACUCGUAUGUUGAAGCUCUCCUCACAUGGUGGAUUGUUGGUUUAGGUUGAGUUUUCUCCCUUUAAUAACAAAAGACCUUAAGGCUUUUGGUCAAAUCAAUUCACCAAUAUUUGAAAUUUUUUCCCCGAACUACGAGGUUUUGAUCUUACCUUUGUGAUGGUACGUAGGCAAUGGGUUCAUCCAUUCAAACAACAAAACUUGUAAAUAUAAUCUAUUCUUUUCUCAUCCCCCCAGUCUUUUGCACAUAUUUUCACAAAUACCAACCUUUAACACAUGUUUGCAAAAAGAGGUUCCCUUAGAGUACUAAGGAUGUUUUGGGUGCAUAAAACCUUCUCAUUUCAUAACCAACCCCCUUACCCAGAUCUCUGACAUUUUUAUUAGUUUUUGAUUUGAUAAAACUUCUUACUUGGCUUUUGUUCGCUUUUUAGCCUUUCCUUUGGACAAAUAAAAAUUUUAUUAGUUUUUGAUUUGAUAAAACUUCUUACUUGGCUUUUGUUCGCUUUUUAGCCUUUCCUUUGGACAAAUAAAAGUGUGGUGGCGACUCGAAUUGUAUGUUUACUUUUGGUUUAGUCAAUAAAUCUAAAGGUAACGAAAACCCCGCUACAACGGGGAAGCAUUACCAAAAAUGUUGGAACAAGCUUAUGUGGAACACGAUGUUAGUGUGGAUCAGUUUGACCAUAUUUUUUCCAACAUCACUUCUUGAAACAACUUGAGCUUCUGUGACGAAGAACUUUCUGAGAAAGGCAGGAAUCACAAUUGGCGCUACAUAUUUUGAUGAGUUGUAAGGAGGAUGCUCUGUCCAAUGUUGUGGUUGACACAGGUUCAUCGUUGAAUGUGUUGCCAAAAUAAACUCUAUCAAGACUCUCCUAUCAAGGCGCCCCGAUGAGGUAUAGUGCCGUAGUUGUUAAAGCGUUUGACGGAUCUCGUAAAAAUGUUAUCGGAGAAGUGGAUCUUCCGGUUAAGAUAGGUCCAAGUGAUUUCCCAAUUACUUUUUAAGUGAUGGAUAUCCACCCGACCUAUAGCUGCUUGUUGGGAAGGCCAUGGAUUCAUGAAGUCGGAGUUGUGACAUCUACUCUACACCAAAAGCUGAAAUUUGUGAAGAACGGCAAGCUUGUCGUUAUUGGUGGAGAGAAGGAAUUGUUGGUGAGCCAUUUGUCAUAUUUUACUUAUGUUGAUACUCAAGAGGAAGUUGGAACGCCGUUCCAAGCUUUGUCCAUUGCUGAUGAAUUGAAGAAAGCUUGGGCACCCAUGUCUUCUUAAAAAGAUACACAAGAGGCUAUUCAGGAUGACAGUAUUGAUAAGUGGGGCCGUGUUGUGGAGGUCAUUGAAAAUAAGAAUAGAGUAGGGCUGGGAUUUCAACAAGGUCCAUUCAACGCCAAUGUCAAGGUUAUGCAACUAGUUUUCUAUAUUGGAGGAUUCAUUCAUGAGGAUGAUCAACACUCAGCUGCUAUUAUUAAAGACAGUGAUGAAGAUAAGGCUUGUGACAACUUUGUGACACAUGGCCAGACUUGCAACAACUGAAUUGUUGUUGAUGUUCAUGUUGUUAUGCGCCGUUCUAAGUAAUUUGUUUUCAUUAUUUUAAAUAAAAAUCCUUUUCCUAUGGCUAAGGGAGAAGUGAACAUUGUUGGGCAUUGUCUUAUUAUCAUUAAUAAAGUACAAUUUUAUUCAUCCACAUCUAUGAUGUUUUAUUUUUGCGCUUUGCUUUUUCUGAAAAUGGUAAUCACAAAAAACAUAAAUAAAUAAUAAUCUUUCCAUAUGCAUAAUAUUUGUUUGCACUCCACUUCUCUAAAAUCAAAAUAUCAAAUCAUUAUGCAAGUUGGUUGUCAAACCCAUUGAAUAUAAUGAUCUUACUCCCUCUCCAAAUUUUGAUUUCCCUGUGUUUGAAGCCGAGGAAGAGAUUAAUGAUGAAAAAGUAUCUGAUGAGUCAUUCUGUUUGCUUGACCACGAGGAAAAAUCCAUUCAGCUGUUUGAGGAGCAAAUUGAAUUAGUCAACUUGGGUUCCGAGGAUGAUGUGAAGGAAGUCAAGAUUGGGUCUCAAUUGUGUCCAGAAGCUAAGAAGAGGUUGGUUGAUAUUCUUCGUGAAUAUUUUGAUGUGUUUGCUUUAUCCUAUCAAGAUAUGCCUGGUUUGGAUUCUGAGAUUUUGGAGCAUAGAUUGCCUUUGAAGCCAGAAUGCCCGCCAGUCAAGCAGAAGCUAAGAAGAACUCAUCUUGAUAUGGCAGUGAAGAUUAAAGAGGAAGUGCAGAAGCAUAUUGAUGUUGGUUUUCUUGUUACCUCCGAGUAUCCGCAGUGGGUCGCCAAUAUUGUGCCUGUUCCUAAGAAAGAUGGAAAAGUACACAUGUGUAUUGAUUAUAGAGAUUUGAAUAAAGCCAGUUUGAAAGAUGAUUUCCCUCUACCACAUAUUGAUAUAUUGGUAGACAACACAAUUAUAUUCAAAUUAUUUUCGUUUAUGGACGAAUUUUCCAGUUAUAAUCAAAUCAAGAUGGCACCUGAAGAGAUGGAGAAGACCAUAUUCAUUACACCUUGGGGAACAUUAUGUUAUAGAGUGAUGCCUUUUGGUUUAAAGAAUGCUAGUGCAACAUACCAGAGAGCUAUGACCACUCUUUUUCAUGAUAUUAUGCAUAAAGAGAUUGAGGUUUAUGUUGAUAAUAUGAUUGCCAAAUCUAGUGAUGAAGAAGAGCAUGUUGAGCCUUUGUUGAAGUUAUUCCAAUGUUUGAGGAAAUAUAAACUCCGCUUGAAUCCCAAUAAGUGUACUUUUGGUGUUCGUUCUGGUAAAUGUUUGGGCUUUAUUGUCAGUAAGAAGGGUAUUAAAGUUGUUCCCGCCAAGCUCAAAGCAAUACAAAAGACGCCUGCACCCAAAACUGAGAAACAAGUCAGAGGUUUUCUCGGCCACUUGAAUUAUAUCUCAAGAUUUAUAACGCAUAUGACUGUCACAUGUGAGCCAAUAUUCAAGUUUCUUCGGAAAGAUCAGUCUUGUGAUUGGACCGAAGAUUUCCAGAAAGCUUUUGAUAGUAUCAAAGAGUAUAUGCUUGAGCCUCCGAUUCUGUUUCCACCUGUUGAAGGAAGACCAUUGAUCAUGUAUUUGAUUGUGCUUGAAGAAAGUAUGGGUUGUAUUCUUUGUCAGCAAGAUGAAUCCGAAAAGAAAGAAUAUGCAAUUUACUACCUCAAUAAGAAGUUCAUCGACUGUAGACUCAGUAUUCUAUGCAUGAGAAGACAUGUUGCGCAUUGGCUUAGGCUGCUAGACGUCUGUGCCAGUAUAUCUUGAAUCACACAACCUGGUUGAUAUCCAAAAUGGAUCCAAUCAAGUACAUUUUUGAGAAGCCUGCUUUAACUGGAAGGAUAUCCCAUUGGCAGAUGUUGUCAUCUAAGUAUGAUAUUGAAUACCGAUCUCAAAAAGCUAUUAAAGGUAAUGUCUUGGCUGACCAUUUGGCUCACUAACCUAUUGAAGAUUAUCUUUUAGUGCAAUAUGUGUAGCGGUAAAUUCAUGACCAUCAAGCUAUGGAUAAACUUGACGUCAAUAAAACCAGAGUCACCACCGCGCUUUUAUUGUUUCUAAAGGAAAAAGGAAAAGUAUGAACGAAACCCAAAGAUAAUAAGUUUUCAAAUCAAAAGUGUUAGCACCCAAACUGUCCUAGGUACUCCUAGGUAUCCCUUUUUGUGUACAUAUGUUUUUGGGUAUAAAUGAUGUUUGAUAAAAAUGAGUGGGGAGAUGAGAAAAGAAUUAAUUAAUUAUACUUUUGUGUUUGACAAGACCUCCGGUCUGAUGCCUACGUACCAACAUAAAAAUGAGAGAUCAAAACCCCAUAGUUUGUGGUAAAAUUUUCAAAGAAGUUUGUGAAUUGAUUUUAACAAAGGUUUAAAUGAAAAGGCACAAAAGGCUAAAAAUUUGAAUGGGGUUGUUAGUUAUUUUUGUCUUUUGAAAUUCAAGUUAAUAUGGUUAAGUUUAUUUACAAAUUUGAUUUAAGAAAAGAAGUUUAAAAAUUCAAUGGCAUAAGGCCAAAGUUUCUAAUCAUUAAAACAUGUCUAAGUUUUAAAUUUACAAGCAAAACAAGUUUUUGAAAAGAGGGAUAGAUUUUGAAACUAAAGAAGUGGGAGGAGAUGAAGGGACUACCCUAAGCAAAAAUUUAAAAGUUUAAGAAUUGAAAAGAUCUGACCAAUGCGAUGCAAUCCAACAGACAAGAAUGUCAUAUAGAAACCCAUUUUCCUUUGGACUUUGAUAAACAAUAAGCAAUGAGAAAUAUCCAAACAUCAAGUGAAAACCAAGGCAUCAAAUAAAGAUAGCCAUAUCCAAGGAAGCACUCCAAUAGCUAGCAGUCUUCAGUGUCUUCCAAUGUAUCCGAUGAAAUAUUCCUUGAUCAACUUAGAACAAAACAUCAGGCAUAGACAACAAUAAAAAAAUAACAAUCAAGCACAGAUACAUAGUAGUAGAUGAAUCAAAGAGAUCCAAGGUCUUACAUCAGAUGAAGGCACAACCAAAGAUAGUUCAGUCUCAGAUGUUGGCAUUGGCCAAGUCCUUUAGCAUAGGGAGUGUUGCCUAGUUUUAAGUCCAAAAGUUCAGAUCAAGUCCCAACAGUCCAACAUUUUUUUAAAGGUUUUUUUGUUGUUAUUAGGUGUUUUAGGGUCCUAAAACCACAAAUAAAACAAAGGUAAACAAACAAUAAAUGCAAUCACAAGAUAUGGAUCACAUGAGCAAAGUGAAACAGAUAUGAAACAUAAACAAGUUAUAUCAAAUGUAAAUGGCAGAUGUAUGUCAAGUGACUGAAAUUUAAAUUGCAUAAAGUAAAUGACUUGAAAGUAAAAGCAUAAUGAAUAAGAGUUAGUCAAUGGUUAGUCAAAUGUUAGUGUUUAGUUUUAAUUGAUUAAGUCAUUCUUUGGACACACUCAACCAUUCAUUGACAAGUAUGAACCCUUAAACCAAGACAUCUUCCAUGAGAAGGGCUCCAACUUGGAUAAUUCAACAAGUAUGCCACUAGCUCUCAUGAAAGGAAAAAGGGUCAAGUUUCCACACAAUGCCAUGAAGAAUGGGAGACUUACAAUCUCACUUACUAGAAUGCUAUGCUUUGAGGGUCAAAUUUAGCUCUAUGUUAAACAAUCGUAAUUAGACUUAUGUAGAAGUCACAACUAUCUGAGGCCGGGCAAUAAAAAUAUAGGUGUUAAUGCAUGUUAGUGAUUUGGUACAAAGAAUCAAACUCCUAAAACAUACCACACACUAAAAGAAAAUGGGAAGGACCUAUCUCAGUCAAACUUGUAUUGAUUCAUCUAACACAAGGUCAUUGAUGAAUCAAUUAGCAUUUAGGCAUUAGAUAUUUCAUUGGUCAAAUGAGAGAAUGGGGAAGAAUAAGGAUGAAGAUGAAGAGGGAAGGGGAAAUAGAAUCACAAAUUGAUCAUGAGAGGAAUUUCAUUUGAUCAAUACCAUCCAUUCAUUUUGGGAGGUGAAAUGUACAUUUCAUCAAUCCCCUAAAUCCAAUGGUUUUGAUACAACAAAAGUAAAAUCAACCAUGACCAAGACCCAAACAAAAAGUCAAACACCACAAGACCAUAAAGAUGGCUCAACAUAAUUUGUAAAUAUUUAAUCAAUUAAAAACACAUUAAAAAUGAAUUAAAAUGCAUUUUAAUUUGGACAAAACCUCAAAUCCCUUCAAAACACCAAAUAAAUGGCCAAGGGAUUUAUCCUAGGCCAAACAAGGUCAAAAGACCUUAGACAAAAAAUUUCAUUAUUUUUAGAAAGUCAGAAGUAUUUUACAAUAAUUAAUAAUAUGCACAAGAACAUUUAAUUCAUGAAAAAUAUCAAAAUUAAUCCAAAAAAUAAUUUUAAUUCAAAAUAUGGAAGAGGAAAAUAUUUAAAUAUUUUUGGUGAAAGUCCCAUAUUUUUUGGAUUAAAAAUGGAUUUAUUAUGAAUUAAACAAAAUAAGGCUAUUUAAAAAUAAAAAUAGAAAUUAAAAUAAAUGAGAAAAAACAAGGGCCAUCAGAUCUCCCUCAUUAAUUGAGGUGGCAGAUCUGAUGGCAAAGCACGCGCGUUCCAUGGUGAACUUGAGUCAAUGCAUCACACGCGUGGUAAUCAAAAGGAAAGGCCAUGAUUAAAAUGUGGAUGUAAGAUCAGAUGACCUGGGAUGUUCUAGCGCAUCACUGGAGCCCUAGCUCCAGUCAUCUUCUCUGGUGGACUUCACUGGACUGGUCCACCACAAACCACCAUCAAAAUGAAAAGUAAGGACAUGGUUUUAAAGGAAAAAUGCUCAAGAGCUCGAAUCUGACCUCCAUUUCAUCCAAUUCCAAGUAUAUUGAAAGAUGCAUGGAUUUAAAAUUUGAGGUGCAUGAUCUUAGUUGCUUCGAUUUGACCUCAAAGCAACUCAAUCUUGUUUCCUACAUUGGUAGGAUUUUAGCCAACCAAAAAUAAAAGAGAAUGGUGUAGAAUUGAGAGAGAAUCGAAGGCUUAAAGUUUCUGAAAAUUCACCUUCGGGUAGCUUGAAUCUGGCUUGAUGUUGCUUCCAAUUUUCUCUGGCUCGACUCUAGAAGCUUGCAGGAAGUGAAAUGGAUCAAAGAAAGGCUUGGAUUCUUGGAAUUUCAAUCUCAAAACAAAAGGAGAUUUGAAACUUGAUUUCAAGUGAAAUCUUCAAGUUUAUCUUUUAAUGGAGGUUAGGGAUGCAAUGCUUCAAAGCUUGGGCAGAAGGGAUCCUCAUUGUGAUCAUAAUGGACCUGCAUUUAUAGGGUUAUGCAUUGUUUUUCACACACUUGAAAAUUUAGCCAAAUUUAGCAACCUUGGUGCAUGGAUGCAUGGGCAUUGAUUUGGGCCCAAGUCAUGAUGUAGUCUUACUACAAUUCAUGCACAAUGAGUACUGAAACAAUAACAUGUAAGCAUGCAAUAGGAAAUGGUCACUUGAAUUCAAAACUUGCCAAAAUAAACCUAUGAAAGGAGCCAUGUCCAAGUCCCUUAAUUCUUGUCUGAAUAAGGUGAUCUUGGACUCUUUGGAAAGGUCUCAUCAAGUUGAACAACUUUGAUGUUGAACACUUUUCCAUUUUGAGCUUGGAUCAUGAUGAAGUUUGAGGUGGAAGUUUGAGAAAUCAAACAUAAUUGAAAAUUUUCUAAGUACCAAGUCAAAUGACCACUUCUUCCACCUUGAAUAAUGUUUGCUAUGAGCUCCAAAUGAAAAUCGUUUCUUCACCAAAGUUGUAGCUCUUUCAUCCCUAUUCAAUUGGGUAACAAAUUUGACAUCAUUUGGAUUUGGCAUGAGGGAGUUAUGAAUUUUAGAAGUUUAGGAAAAUUGCUUGUUCAUUGGUAAUGGCCCAAAAUGACCUAUAAUGUUUCCUCUUGGAACAUGCCCUUGCAAGUUGAUUUUUACAUUUCUCAAAGAAAUUUUUUUGUAUAGGAAAUAUUUUAUUUGAUCAUGAAACUUGGAUGGUCUUCAUAUCAUACAAAUUGAGAAAGUUAUGGUCCUUGGAAGUUGACCUCCUAACUAGGGCACAUACAAAAUGACCUAUAAUCUUUCACCAUAAAACAUAACUUUCCAAGCAAAACUAGCUCUUGAUGCCAACAUGAAAGUUGUUUGAAAUGUCAUAAAGAGUAACGUUUCUCUUGGAAUCAUUUUAAUAUGACAAAAAUUGUAGGAGAUAGGGUCUAGGGAACCCCAAUUUUGACAAGUUGACUUUCUCUGGUCAACCUCUUCGAACCAACUUGAAAAAUUGAAGUUAUCUUGAUCUUUAGAUAUCAUGGAGGAUCAUAUAUGCAUAAUAUUAUGUAUAAUGGAGUAUCCCUUGAGAUAUUUGAUCAAUUGGUGAAUAAACUUGCUAAGGAAGUCACACAAGAUACCCAGAUGAAUUAGGGCUUCCAAGACAAACAAGCUUCAAAGUCUUGAUGGAUUCUUGAUCAAAAUGAUAAAUUAAGAACAUGGGGGAUCCAUAUAUGAUGUUUAGAACCAAUGUUAAUCUUUCCUUAAUUGAUCUCUUUCACUAAGGGUCUCAAACCCUAGUUGUGAGCUUGAUGAGGCAUUGGUGGAUGCACACACUACCUACAAAAGAAAUAAAGCUAUACAUAGACAUAUUUUUGUAUUUUUAGUUAGUAAAUAAAGAAAAAGAAAAAGAAAGUAUGAUAAAAUUAAAUGUGGUUGGUGAUCUCUUCCAAUGCGAAUCCAAUGAAUGAGGGGUAAGGAAGAUACCGAGGUGUGAUCCCAAAGUCAAUGCAAUCGAUGAGAUAGCAUGAGGCAUCUUAGGGUCAAAAUUGGGGUCUUACAAUAUGAUUUUCCUAGCGAAGAUAUUUUGUAUUUGAAGAUGAAGGAUUGUGAGGAACCAUUGCUUGAAGAAGGGUCAGAACCUGGUUCCCGUUGGGGUAUGGUAUUUGAUGGAGCUGUUAAUUCACAUGGUAAUGGCAUUGGAGCAGUGAUUAUUACUCCUCACAAUACUCAUUUUCCGUUUACAUCUAGAUUAAACUUAAAGUGUACAAAUAAUAUGGAUGAGUAUGAAGAUUGCAUUAUAGGGCUUUAGGAAGCCAUUGAUCUCAGAAUCAAAUACCUCGACGUCUAUGGAGAUUCAACUUUGGUAGUCAAUCAGAUCAAAGGUGAAUGGGAGAUGAAUCAACAAUGUUUGAUACCAUAUAAAGAUUAUGCGAAGAGGAUUUCAACUUUAUUUACAAAGGUCUAGUUACAUCAUAUCCCUCGGGACGAAAACCGAAUGGCAAACGCUCUUGCAACAUUGGCUUCCAUGAUUGUGGUGAAUUUUUGGAAUGAAGUCCCUAAUUUGACCGUGAUGCGUAUUGAUAGGCCAACUUAUUUGUUUGUCGUUAAAGAAGUCAAAGAUGAAAAUCCAUGGUAUUAUGAUAUCAAGUAUUUCCUCCAAAGUCAUAUUUACCCGCCUAGGGAAUCUUUGAAAGUAAGAAGACUCUGAGAAGAUUAACUAGCAACUUCUACCUGAAUGGUGAUGUGCUUUAUAAGAGAAACUUUGAUACGGUUUUGCUCAGAUGCGUGGAUAGACACAAAGCAAACUUGUUUAUUACUGAAGUCCAUGAAGAUUCCUUUGGUACUCAUUCCAAUGGACAUGAUAUGGUAAAGAAGAUGUUGAGAGCAGGUUACUAUUGACUGACAAUGGAAUCUGACUAUUACAAGUUUGUGAAGAAAUGCCUUAAGUGUCAAAUUUAUACAUAUAAGAUUCAUGUUCCUCCGACACUGUUGAACGUCAUUUCCUCCCCAUGGCCCUUCUCCAUGUGGGAAAUUGAUAUGAUUGACAUGAUUGAGCCCAAGGUUUCGAACGAACAUCGUUUCACUCUGGUGGCUAUUGACUACUUCACAAAGUGGGUUGAAGCGGCAUCGUAUGCAAAUGUGACCAAGCAGGUUGUGGUCAGGUUUAUCAAGAAUCAGAUUAUAUGUUGAUAUGGUGUUCCAAGUAAGAUCAUUACUGAUAAUGGAUCAAACUUGAAUAAUAAUAUGGUGGAAGUUCUUUGUAAGGACUUCAAGAUUGCAUAUCAUAAUUCUUCUCCCUACAGAACUAAGAUGAAUGGUGCUGUCGAAUAUGCAAAUAAGAACAUUAUGAAAAUCAUUCAGAAGAUGGUUGUGACAUACAAAGAUUGGCAUGAGAUGCUCCUGUAUGCUUUGCAUGGGUACCACACAUCCAUCCGCACUCAGAAGAUAUGACCAACUGAAUUUGAUUGAAGAGAAGAUAUUGACUGCCAUGUGUCAUGGUCAGUUAUAUCAAUAGAGAAUGAAGAAAGCAUUUGAUAAGAAGGUCAAGCCCCGUGUGUUCAGAGAAGGUGACCUCGUGAUCAAGAAGAUAUUAUCUUUCAAACCUGAUGCUAGGGGCAAGUGGACUCUGUUAGAACAAGAUUUUGGUUCUAUAAUUUAUCUCUAAGUUUUGAUGAUAACAAAGGAUGAAACAUUUUGGUACCCUAAUAAAAUUCUCUAAGUGCAUAGGACUUUAAUGAAAAAUGAAUCCGAUGAAACAACAUCUGACAUCACAUUAAUCAAGAAUAACUAACUUAGAUUUAAAGGUACUCGCUCUGACACUGAAGACAAUGAUGUCCACAACAUCUGACAUCCGAAGACUCUAAAACUUUACAUCUGAAGGAUCCCACACAUGAAUAUUCUGAUGAUCCUUACAUCUGAAGAAUGUCUAAUUAGAGAUCAGUCAAGAACUUCUGAAGAAAACGCAUCAGACAACUAUCUGAAGAAUACAAGAUCGAAGAGAAGUAUCUGAAUUCCGCGCACUCUGAUUCACGUCCAACAGAUCAGAUCAAUACUUAACAACGAAGUAUUCCAAAUAUGGUAUGAAUCUUUAUAUGGAGAAAACUGAAUACUCUCCUAAACUACUAUGGAAAGGACAAUAAAGUAAAUGUCAUUUAAGUCUCAUCAUUAUCAAGAUAUCAACAUCAAUGCUCCAUUCAACGGUAUCAUCUCCAAGCACUAUAAAAAGGCCCAACUAUCAUCAUACAAAAUAUACGAAGAUAUAACACAAGAAUUCCGCACAUCAAAAUUAAGUCAUACACAAAAUUCUUAUCUUACGUUAUCACACGAGUGUAGCGGUAAAUUCAUGACCAUCAAACUAUGGAUAAGUUUAACGUCAAUAAAACAAGAGUCGCCACCACGCUUUUAUUAUUUCCAAAGGAAAAGGGAAAAGUACGAACAAAACCCAAAGAUAAGAAGGUUUCAAAUCAAAACUAAUAAAAUGCCAUAGAUUACAGGUAAGGGGGUUGAUUACACAGAGGGAAGGUGUUAGCACCCAAAGUGUCCUAGGUACUCCUAGGGAGCCCUUUUUUAUGUGUGUAUGUAUUUUUGGUAUAAAAUAUGCUUGAGAAAAAUAGAGCGUGGGGAUGAGAAAAGAAUUCAUUGAUUAUAUUUUUGUGUUUGACAAGUUCUUCGGACUUGUGCCUACGUACCAACAUAAAAAUGAGGGAUCAAAACCUCGUAGUUCGUGGUAACAAUUUCCAAAUGAAUGGAUUGCUUUUAAUCAAAAUUUAAGUUUAAAAGAGGCACAAAGGGCCCAAAAGUUUGAAUGAGUGUUAUUUCUUUUUGUCUUUUGAAAUUUUAAGUCAAUAUUGUUAAGUUCAUUUACAAGUUUUGAUUAAGAAAAGUUUAAAAAAAUGCAAUGGCAUAAGGCCAAAGUUUCUAAUUUGGAAUAAGGUCUAAGUUUUGAAAUCACAAGCAAAGAAGGUUUUUUUUAAAAGAGGGGGAGAUAUUUUGAAAUUUAAGAAGUGGGAGGAGAUGAAGAGACUGAUCCUAAGCAUAAAAUUAAAAGUUAAGAGUUGAAAAGAUCUGAUCAAUGGGAUGCAAUCCAAUAGACAAGAAUGUCAUAUAGAAAACCCAUUUUCCCUUUGGACUUUGAAUCAAGAAAAUAUCCAUAAGCAAUUAGCAAUAUGAAGAGCAAGGCAUCAAAUAAAAAUGGCCACAUCCAAGCAAGCAAAUCCAUAGCUAAUAGUCUUAUUUUAUCUUCUUAUGUACCAGAUGAAAUACUCCUUGAUUUUCGCUCAGAAUAAGGUAUUAGACAUGAGAUCAAAAUAAAAGUUGCAUCAAGACCAUGUAGCAGAUGAAUUCAAGUGGAUAUCAAUACUUGCAUCAGAUGAAAUCUCAAAUUACAAUAACUUGGUGUCAGAAAUGUUGGCAUUGGUCAAGUCCUUUUGCAUAUGGAAUGUUGCCUAAUCAUAAGUCCAAAAGCUCAGAUCAAACCCAACAGUCCAUACAAACAUUGUUUAGGGUUUUUUGUUGUUUAUUAGGUAUCUUAAGGUCCUAAGACCACAAACACAACCAAAAUAUACAUUCAAAUAUAUACAAUCACAAUAUAUGGCUCAAAUGAGCAAAGUGAAAAUGGAAUAAACAUAAACAAGUUAAAUGAUAUGUAAAUGAUAAUGAAUGGUAAAUGACUAGAAAUUAAAUUGCAUAAAAAAAUAAAUUACAUGAAAGUAAAAGCAAUAUUAAUAAAAGUUAGUCAAAUGUUAGUUAAUGAGAUGUUAGUGAUGCUUUGCUUUUCAAUUUAUUAAGUCAUUCUUUGGAGAACACUCAACCAUCUAUUCAAAAACAUGGAUCCUUGAACCAAGACAUCUUCCAAAGGAACGAAAAAAAGCCAAGUUUCCACACAAUACCAUGAAAGAUGGAAGACUUACAAUCUCACUUACUAGAAUGUUAUGUCUUUAGGGUCAAAUUUAGCUCUAUGUUAAGCAAUCGUAAUUGGACUUAUGUAGAAGUCACAACUAUCUGAGGCCAGACAAUAAAAAUUUAGGUGCUAAUGCAUGUUAGAGAUUUGGUAUAAUGAACCAAACUCCUAAAAUAUACCACACACUAAAAGAAAAAAGAUCAAAGGAGGGACCUAUCUCAUCCAUACUUAUAUUGGUUCAUCUAACACAAGGUUAUUAAUCAACCAAUUAGCCUUAGGAUCUUGAGAUUUCAUUGGUCAAUGAAAGGGAUGGGAAAGAAUGGGAUUGAAGAUGAAGAGGGAGGGGAGAUGAGAGAAAUACAAAUUGGUCAUGGGAGGAAUUUUAUCAAAUUAAAAUCAUUCAUUCUUUUUGGGAGAUGAAAUGUACAUUUCAUCAACCCCCUAAAUCCAAUGAUUUUAAUCCAACAAAAGUCAAAUCAACCUUAACCAAGGCCCAAACUAAUAGUCGAACAUCACAAGUCAAUAAAAAUAGCUCAACAUAUAUUUUACAUAAUUAAUCACUUAAAAAUCAAAUUAAAAAUGCCUUUAAAUUCAAUUUAAUUUGGCCAAAACCUGAAACCUCUUCAAAACACCAAAUAAAUGGUCAAGAGAUUUAUCCUAGGUCAAUGAAGGUCAAAUGACCUUAGACAAAUUUUUUUAUGAUUUUUGAAAAGUCAGAAGUAUUUUUAAACAAUUAAAAAAAUGCACAAAAACAAUUAAUUCAUGAAAAAUAUCAAAAUUAAUCCAAAAAAGUAAUUUUAAUUCAGAAAAUGAAAGAGGAAAAUAUUUAAAGAUUUUUCGUGAAAGUCUCAUAUUUUUUGGAUUAAAAAUGAAAUUAAUAUGAAUUAAACAAAAUAAAUGGAUUAAACAAAAAAUCAGAAAAUAAAAAGAAAUUCAAAAAAAAAAUGGGCCAUCAUAUCUCCCUUAUUAGUUGAGGUGGCAUAUCUGAUGGCCACGCGCAUCAUGUCCAUGGUGUUCUAAAGUCAGCGCGCGACAACAUUGGUAAUUAAAACCAAAGGCCAAAAUUAAAAUAAUUUAAACAUAUCUGAUGGUUGAGAGGCGUGACAACACACCACCGGAACUAGGGCUAUGGUCUUCUUCUCCGGUGGACCUCACCGGACUGGUCCACCAUCAACCAUCACUAAAAUAAAAAACAAGAACAUGGAUUCAAAGAAAAAAUGCUCAGGAGCUCGAAUCAGGCCUCAAUUUUCUCCAAUUCCAAGUAUAUAGAAAGAUACAGGGAUUUGAAUUUUGAGGAUCAUGAACUCAGUUUCUUUGAUUUGACCUCAAAGCAACUCAAUCUUGUUGCCUACAUUGGUAGGACUUCAGACAACCAAAAAACACAAAGAAUGGUGAAGAAUUGAGAGAGAAUCGAAGAGAUGAAGUUUCUGAAAAAUCACCUUCGAGUUGCUUCAAAUUCACUUGAUCUUGAUAUGGAUUUGCUUGCUUUCUCUUCCUCUUAUUUGCAGAAGCCAAUUUAGAUGAAAAUGGAAGUGAAUUUCUGGAGUUUGAACUUCCAAACAGAAGAUGAAUUUCAAGCUCGAUUUCAAAAGAAAUCUUCAGAAAUUCUAUGGAAUGGAGGGUUUUGAUUGGUCUGGAAAAGCUUGGGUAAGGUAUUGAUGGAGUUCUGAUCACAAUGCACUCUUAUUUAUAGCCAAUGCAAUUGAUUUCCACACACUUUCUUUCAAAUGUUCAAAAAUAGAAAGUUUUUUCAUGAGCUAGCAUGGGCGUGCACAAAGCCUAAACAAUCAUUUACAAGGGUCCAAAAUCGUGCAUAGGUCAUGCUGAAAGUGUUGCAUUAAGCCAUGCAAAGUUAGAAUGAGUUUGAUCAUGAAAUUCUUCCAAAUGGUACCACACAUUUCACCCAUGUACAAGUCCUUUAAUUUUGAUCCAAAUUAUAUAAUCUUGGACUUUUUGGAAAGGUGAGAUCAAGGACUUGUAUUCUUUCACCAAGUUAUAUAAUCUUGAACACUUUUCCAUUUGAAGCUUGGGUCAUGAUGAAUUUUGAGGUGGAAGUUUGGAAAAUCAAACAUAUUUGAAAAUUUUCUAAGUACCAAGUCAAAUGUUCACUUCUUCCACCUUGAAUAACUUUUUCCAUGGACUUCAAAUGGAAAACAUUCCUUCAUAAAAGUUGUAUCUAUUUCAAACCUCUUCAAUUUAGUCACAAAUUUUACCUCAUUUGGAUUUGGCAUGAAUGAGUUAUGCGUUUUAGAAGUUGAGGAAAAUCACUUGUUCAAUGGUAAUGACCCAAAAUGACCUAUAAUGUUUCCUAUUGACACAUGCACUUGCAAGUUGAAAUUGAACUUACUUCAAACAUCAAGGUUGAAGUAGACAUACUGAAUUUCAUCAUGGAAUUUGAAUGGCUUUCAUAUCAUAAAAAUUAACCAAGUUAUGGUCUUGGGAAUUUGACCUCCUAACUAGGGUUCAGACAAAAUGGGCUAUAUUCUUUCACCAUAAAAAAUGACUUUCCAAGCUAAACUAGAUCUUUACUUCAACAUGAAACUUGUUUGUAAUGUCAUUUUGAGUAACGUUUCUCUUGGAAUCAUUUUCAUAUGACAAGAAUUGUAGGAGAUAGGGUCUAGGGAACCCCAGUUUGACCAGUUGACUUUCUCUGGUCAACCACCAUGAACCAUCUUGCUAGCUUGAUAUUCUCUUGACUUUUGGGACUCAUGGAGGAUCAUAUAUGCAUAAUAUGAUUUAAUAUGAAGUAUCCUUUUAAAUAUUUGAUCAAAUGGUGAAGAAACUUGCUGAGGAAGUCACACAAGAUACCCAAAUGAAUUAGGGCUUCCAAGGCAAACAAGCUUCCAACUCUUGAUGAAUCCAUAUAUGAUGUCUAGAGUCAAUGUGAACCAUCUCUUGAUUAGUCUCCUUGCAUUGAGGGUCUUAAACCCUAGAUAUGAGCUUGAUGGAGCAUAGGUGAGCAUACACACUACCUACAAAAACAACAAACUAUACAUUGACAUAUUUUUCGUAUUUUGGUUAGUAAAUAAUGAAAGACAAAGUAUGAUAUAAUCAAAAUGUGCUUGGUGACCUCUCCUAAUGCAAUCCCAAGGAAUGAGGGGUAAGGAGGAUGCCAAGGUGUGAUCCCAAAGCUAAUGCACAUGAUGAGAUAACAUGAGGGAUCUUAGGGUCAAAAUUGGGGUCUUACAACGAGUUGUUGCUCUAAGUGUGAUCUUGAUUUUUUUUCUUACUGUGUUCAUAUUGCUUAUCUAGAAGCACUAAACAUCUUCUUGUAAUUUUAAAAUAGUUGUUGUAAAUUUCCUCAAGUGACUUGUGAAGUCUCUAGACUUCAGAGGAUUAAGAGAUCAGUGUACUCUUAGACGUUUGUUGUAAUAUUUCUAGAUUAUUGGAUUAAGUACUUAUUGAAGGAGAAAUCACCUUGGUCGGGUGGACUGGAGUAGCUUUGAAUUUCAAGCGAACCAGGAUAAACUUCUGCGUUGUUUGUUUUGAUUUUUGUGUUUGUGGCGUUUCCAAACGUUUUUAUUAUCAGUGAAAACAAUUCAAACCCCCAUUUCUUGUUUUUCUCUACCUUCAAUUGGUAUCAAAGCUUUGUCUCUGUUAUUGAUUUUCAAAUCAAACACUUAAUAGUGUAGAGCGAUCCAGCGUGAGAAAAACAUCAUGGCCAACACCAAUGAAAGAGAUAGAUACAAUUCUAAACCUCUAGUAUUCGAUGGAGAGAAUUUUGAUUAUUGGAAGGACAUAAUAGAAAGCUUCUUCUUAGGCUAUGACGCUGACUUAUGGGACAUUACCAUAAAUGGUUAUGAACCACCUGUAUCUGCUCUUGGUAUUUUUAUUGCAAGAAAAAAAUGAGUGAUGAUCAGAAGCGUGACUUCAAAAAUCACCACAAAGCCAGAACGAUUCUGUUGAAUGCAAUAUCCUACAAUGAAUAUGAAAAGAUCACCAACAGGGAAACAACUAAAGAAAUAUUUGAUUCCCCAAAGAUGGCUCAUGAAGGCAAUAAUCAAGUCAAAGAGACUAAGGCUCUGGCCUUAAUCCAAAAAUUUGAAGCCUUCAGAAUGGAGGAUGAUGAAUCUGUAGAGGUAAUGUUUUCUAGAUUUCAAACUUUAGUUGCAGGACUCAAGGUUCUGGACAAAGGAUACACAACUACAGACCAUGUCAAAAAGAUAAUCAUAAGUUUUCCAAAGAAAUGGAGACCUAUGGUUACUUCCUUAAAACUAUCCAAGGAUCUGAAUAACAUAAGCCUGGAAGAACUAAUCAUCUCCCUUAGGAGUCCCGAGAUAGAGCUAGAGGAAGAUGAGGCUCAAAAUAAAAGUAAAUCAAUGGCUCUAAAGUCCAGAUCAGAAAGACGAAAUCCAGAAAGGAACAAAGCCUUUCAAGUUGAAGAAGAAGACGACGAUGAUUCUGAAAAAGAUGAUUUUGAUAAUGAAGAAGAGUUAUCUAUUAUAACCAAAAGAGUUAAACAACUCUGGAGAAAAAGGAACAACAACUUUAGAAGACCUAGACAAAAGGGAGAUCGUUCAGAGUCAACUUCCAAAAGCAAACCAAACAAAGAGGUAACCUACUAUGAAUGUAAAGAACAAGGACACUACAGAAAUGAAUGUCCAAAGCUCAAGAAAGAUAGUUCCAGAAAAGAAGGAUUCAAUAAAAAAUCCUUCAAAACUAAGAAGGGGAUCAUGGGAACUUGGGAUGACUCUGAACCUGACACCUCAGAAUCAAACUCUGAAGAGGAACAAGCAAAUGUUGCAUUCAUGGCUACCAUAUUUAGAAGUUCAUCCGAAAGAGAAUAUGACUCUGAAGAGGUAUUUUCUGAACUCUCUUACUCUGAUAUGGAAGCUUGUUUAUUAGAAUCUCUAAGCUCUUAUCAUAAGCUUCGACAGAAAUUCAAGAUCCUAAAAAGGGUCCAUGAAGAAACUGUUGAAGAGUGUGAUAAGCUUGAGAAAGAGGUUUCUGAACAUAAAGGAAAAAAAUUUAUCCUUGAAAAAGAAAAUGAACUUUCAAUCAAAAAAUGCUUAAAACUUGAAGAAACUCUUUUGAAAGCUCCACCAACUUCUGACACCAUCAUAUAUAAAUGGGCUUGAAAGAAGUAAAAUGGAUUUUAUGGGCUUGAAAGAAGUAAAAUGGAUUUUAUGAUUUAUGGUGUUAGUCACAAUAAGAAAAGAGGAACUGGAUAUGACUCUGAUGAAGAUGAGCAAAUACCUUCUGCAGAGGACAAGCCUAAAUCUCCUUUUUCUUAUCAUUACACACAUGCACAAACACAAAGAUUUAAUAAUGCUAGAAAAACCAAAGUUUCUAUAAACCUGGGAGAACUAAUCAUAAAGGACCCAAAAUAUUUUUGGUACCAAAAGAUAAAAUAGUAUAUGUUGCAUAUAUCUUGUGCAGUAGAGUUAAGAGACCAAUCAUGGUACCUGGACUUUGGAUGCUCGUGACACAUGACGGGAAGAAAGCAUAUGUUCCAAAUCCUGGAACUUAAAGACGUUGGCUUCGUAAGCUUUUAAGGAAAUCAGAAAGGAAGAAUCAGAGGAUUUGGAACAAUUGAUAAUGGAUCUCUUCCCUCUAUUUCUGAUGUUCUUUACAUAGAAGGAUUAACGCAUAACCUGUUAUCCAUAAGUCAAUUAAGUGAUAACGGUUAUGAUAUAAUCUUCAAUAAAAAAAACUGCAAAACUAUUAAUCAGAACAAUGGGACAGUUACUUUCAUUGGUAAGGGGAAGAACAACAUUUACAAAAUUAAUCUUUCAGAUCUAAAAGAUCAAAAUGUAAAUUUUUUAAUGUCUGUAAAUGAAGAGCAAUGGGUGUGGCAUAGACGUUUGGGUCACAUUAGCAUGAGGAUGAUUUCUCAGCUAAAUAAACUUGAGUUAGUCAGAGGCCUACCUAAGCUGAAGUUUUCUUCAGAUGAUCUUUGUGAGGCAUGUCAGAAAGGAAAGUUUUCUAAAACAACUUUCAAAAAUAAAAAUGUUGUUUCUACCUCUAAGCCUCUAGAACUUCUUCAUAUUGACUUGUUUGGACCUGUUAAGACAAUGUCAGUCAAUGGUAAGAAGUAUAGACUUGUCAUUGUUGAUGAUUAUAGUCGCUAGACAUGGGUAAAAUUCCUAAGACACAAGAAUGAGUCACACUCUGUGUUUACUAGUUUCUGCUCAAAAGUGCAAAAUGAAUUUGACUCUAAAAUCAUCAGAGUUAGAAGUGAUCAAGGAGGUGAAUUUGAAAACAAACUUUUUGAAGAGCUUUUUGAUUCUAAUGGAAUAUUCCAUGAUUUCUCCUGUCCUAGAACUCCACAACAAAAUGGAGUUGUAUAAAGGAAGAAUAGGACUCUCCAAGAAAUGGCCAGAACCAUGAUCAAUGAAACAAAUGUAGCUAAGUACUUCUGGGCUGAAGUAGUGAAUACAACAUGUUAUAUUCAGAAUAUAAUCUCUAUUAGACCUAUUCUGAAGAAGACUCCUUAUGAACUGUAUAAGGGAAGAAAACCCAACAUUUCCUAUUUUCAUCCUUUUGGAUGUCCUUGUUUUAUCCUAAAUACUAAAGAUAAUCUGAACAAGUUUGAUCCUAAAGCACAAAACUGUAUUAUGUUGGAAUACUCAGAACGCUCUAAAGGCUAUAGAGUAUAUAAUACAGAAACAUUAAUUCUGGAAGAAUCAAUACAUGUCAGAUUUGAUGAUAAGCUCGACUCUUCUCUAUCUGACUAGUACACGUCCAGAUAUAUUAUUCAACGUCUGUCUCUGUGCCAGAUUCCAGUCAGAUCCAAGGUAAUCUCACCUAACUGGUGUUAAGAGAAUCCUAAGGUAUCUUAAAGGAAAACCUAACUUGAGCCUGAUGUAUUAGAAAACAUCAGAGUAUAGGCUUUAUGGGUAUUGUGAUGCAGAUUAUGUUGGAGACAGAUUGGAACGCAAAAGCACAUCUGGAAACUAUCAGUUUCUAGGAGGAAACCUCAUCUCAUGGGCUACCAAAAGACAAUCAACGAUUGCACUCUCAACUGCAGAAGCAUAGUACAUUUCAGCUUCACUAUGCAGCACUCAGAUGCUCCGGAUGAAGAAUCAGCUAGAGGAAUUUCAGAUAUAUGAGAGUAACAUCCCUAUAUUUCAUGACAAUACUGCUACCAUGUGUUUAAGUAAGAAUCCUAUUUUUCACUCCAGAGCAAAGCACAUAGAAAUUAAACAUCAUUUUAUCAGAGACUAUGUUUAGAAAGGGGUAAUAAUCUUAAAAUUCAUUGAUACAGACCACCAAUGGGAUGAUAUCUUCACAAAACCCCUAGCUGAAGUUAGAUUCUCCUUCAUUCUGAAACAUUUAAACAUGGCAGAUUGCCCAGAGUGAUUCUAAACUUGUGCUUCUCCUCUAACGUGUAAAAAUAGGCUCUGACUUAAACCUAUCAUUGGCAUCUGGUUCUAGUUUUGAUACUUCUACCAGUUAGAUGUAAUCUAAAUUAGAAACUCUCUAAAUCAAAAUCUUUUGGUACUCUUAAUUUCAUAAACAUUAACAUGUGGUCUCUCUAGCGUCUGGCCUUGGAUCUUCUAGACAACUGUCUAGCACAGAACUCAAGAGCAAGACUAUUGAGAUCUCCUUGAUCAGUGUGCAUAUUUUUAGGAUUAGACUACCAUCAUUACCUGCAGUUAAUUCUCCCCGAGUGUGUCAACUCAGAUUUUUGAGCUAAUUAAUUUUGUUGUUUCCUAUUCUCUAUUAACGUUGUCGUUUUGCAUGUUACAUGUUGUGUAUAUAUAUUUUUCACAAUUCUCACUUUCACACUUUUCACUCACAAACCUACACAAACCCUUUUAUGCUCAAACUCUUCAUCAACUUCCUUCAAAUCAUCAUCAACAUUUAACAACAUCUUCAUCUUCUCCAAAUGGAUUCUCAACAACAACAGGUCUAUAACUACUCUCAACAAAUGGAAGCAAAUGAACAUCUUGCUAAAGCUUAACAACAAACCUCUACUGAAAAUGCUACAACAUCAACCGCUAUUUACAAGAAACCCCACAUCCUUGAUCGUCCACCUCACAUCAACCUUGCAACCCCAUUUGAGAAACUGGAAGUUCUCUGUGAGUCUCUGGUGGAUUUUGAAAAUAUGAAGCGCAAUGGAAUUGAUCUUACUGAAGAUAUGAAUAAGCAAGGCUGGGGAAAUUAUUUUCAAAGGCUCUAUGGUCCCAUCUACACCUUCCUCGUCAAAGUGUUAUGGAGAUUCGCAGACUGUGAUGACCAUUUCAUAGUCUCUUAUGUCCUUGGAUUUAAGAUGGUUAUCACUGAGAAGUCAAUUGCAAAACUUCUAGAUAUGGAGAAAAUGGGGGCAGAAGAAUUUAUAACAUAAACCCUAGGGAAAGAUACAUGUCCCAGGAGAUUGUACCAACCAUCUUCAAACAGAACUCUAAAGGGAAAUCAUCCAAGAACAAGGAACUUCACCAGAAUCUAAGGGUCUGGUUAAAGAUCAUUCUGGGUACCAUCUACCACCGUCUAGCCUCAAACUCUUCUGACUACAUCAAGACAAAUCAAAAGUGUAUAUUAUAUUUCCUCCACAAAGGACUCAAGCUGAAUCUGCCAGUGCUACUAUUCAAGUAUCUGAGGGACUCAGUCAAGGAUACAAGAAGCCACAUGAAGACCAGAAACUACAUUCCUCUGGGGAGUCUCAUCUCUGAUGUUCUGAUUGAAAUCGGGAUGGUGGACCAUCUGAUAUCCUACAACCUGAUGGAAGAUGUGACUGUAGAUGUUGGAAAGCCUCUGAAUGCCAUAAAUCUGAUGAGCAUGAGGGUCAUCGGAAGAGUCUUGGUCAAGCCAACUUUGGAAACUUCCUAGGAAGAUCUGAUGGAUCAAAGAAAGAUACCCAAUGAUCUCUAUCUGUUCUCCAAGAUAGAUCCUCUAGAGGUCAUUGCCCAUUACCUCUAGGACCUGACAUCUCAAGGGGUGGAUAUCUCAGAGUUCUCAGUGGACUGGCUUCUAGAGCAGCCACCUAACUUUAUGAAAAAGAAGAGAGAUCCUUUUAAGAGGUCCAAGAAGUCAAAGACUCUGAAGCUGGGAGAACCGUCUGCAACCAGAUCGCAUGCGCCUCUAAACUCCUCUGUCUCAAGUAAGUCUCACCCCUCUGAAACUCCUUAUUAUUCUAAUUUAAAGCAACUAUAUUUCUCUCUACCUCACCCAUCUUCCAUCUAUACCCUCUUUGAACCUACCAUAUCUAUUCCACCUACCACUAAACAUCACAACUCUAACCCUUCCUCACCCCCUCCACGAUAAAUCAACCUCACUACCACAACACUUCCCACAUCUGAAACUUCACCUCUGAAUGAAUCCCUCCCACCUCUCUCCUCAACUCACUCUUCAUCACCAUAUUGCGACAUAUCCUCUGACUCUGAACAGCCAGAAAUCUUUGACCCUUCAUCCCCAACAUUGGCCCAACUACAAGCCAUAACACUAUAUAACCAACCUCCAUUUAUCCCAGAUACCUAUGUGCCUUCUUCUUCUGAACCUCAAACAAAACCACCUUCUAAACAACCAUCUGAACCCCCAACUGAAUAAUCCUCUGAAGCUCCCACCCAAACCACCCACAUUUCACCAGAACCCAUCAAUCCAUCUUCUGGACCUGAACCAACCUUCCCCACCCUAAAAGAGUCCGUUGAUUGAUUUUCAUAAUCCUCAGCUGUAAAGCUCAGAUCACUGUCUGAAUAGUUCAAACUAAGUGAUAAUCCCUCUAAAGUGAGAAAUCACUGGAAUGGAUUUCUCAUAUGGAUGACAUCUGAGGUCUUCAAGCUGAAAGGCCUCCAUGAACAAGUCAAAAAUGACUACAUUAGAGAAGCUAAGGAGAGGCUAGAGGUUUGUCUGACCAGAGAAGCCGAAGAGAAAUCACACCAGGAAGCUAAAGAAAUCGCAAGACGGAAAGCUGAAGAGUAAGCAACAAAAGAAGCCGAAGAAAAGGCUGUCGCUGAGGCUUCUGUUGCUGAAGCCAAGGCUGACGUUGAAGAAGCAGCACACAUUAUUGCAAAAGAAGCCGCAAAGGCAAAGGAAGUUGCUCUGACUCAGGGUGAGACCUCUAACUCUGAUCUUGCUCCGGAGGUGCUCAAGACUCUGGAAGAAAUCCAGAAGGAACAACAUCUUGUGAGAGCCAUACUAGAUCAACAGGACUCUGUCAACUCCAGUAUUCAGACUCUCCUGACUUAGUUGCUUCAUAGGAUGCCGCCUCCUCCAAACCCUUAGAAACCUUAGGCUUUAUGCUUUGUGUUUUUGUUCCUCUAAGUGUUUUAGCUUCUAUGUUUUUCCUUCUAUGUACCUCUUUCACUUUAUCCAAUGAAAUUUUGUUUUAUAUGUUUCUUGGUUAUGUCUUUUUGACUCUGACAAAAAGGGGGAAAAGUAAUGAAAAAACCUUCUGAUGAAAUUAAUAUCUAAGCCUCAUAAUGCACUCCUUACAUUCUGAAAUUUUAAAUAUAUUGUGCAGUCUAAGUUCUUGUAGGAAGUAUUUGAGUAAAACAUCUGAGAAACAAGCUAAGCAACAUAAGAGGCUCUGGUAAGAAACUCUAAACCUUCUAAAGUAUCAAAUUUAGGGGGAGCUUGCUUAUCUCAGGGGGAGUCUUAGUAUAUCUGACUCUAAAAUUAUUUUCCUUUAAUUAUUAUGAAGUAUAAUUGUUUCAUCAACAGGCUGAAGUUUUGUCAUCAUUAAAAAGGGGGAGAUUGUUAGAACAAGAUUUUGGUUCUGCAAUUUAUCUCUAAGUUUUGAUGAUAACAAAGGAUGAAACACUUUGGUACCCUAAUAAAAUCAUCUAAGUGUGCAAGACUCUAAUGAAAAAUGAACCUGAUGAAACAACAUCUAACAUCACAAUAAUCAAGAACAACAGACUUAGAGUCAAAGGUAUUCGCUCUAACACUAAAGACAAUGAUGUCCACAUCAUUUGACAUCCGAAGACUCUAAAACUCUGCAUCUAAGGGAUCCCACACAUGAAUACUCUGAUGAUCCUUACAUCUGAAGAAUGUCUAAUUAGAGAUUAUUCAAGAACUUUUGAAGAAAACACAUCAGGCAACUAUCUGAAGAAUACAAGAUCUAAGAGAAGUAUCUGAAUUCCGUGCAUUCUGAUUGACGUCCAACAGAUCAGAUCAAGACUUAACAACAAAGUAUUCCAAAUAUGGUAUGAAUCUCUAUAUGGAGAAAAUUGAAUACUCUCCUAAACUUCUAUGGAAAGGACAAUAAAAUUAAUGUCAUUUAAGUCCCAUCAUUGGCAAGAUAUCAGCAUCAAUGCUUCAUUCAACGGUAUCAUCUCCAAGCACUAUAAUAAGGCCCAACUAUCAUCAUACCAAAUAUACGAAGAUAUAACACAAGAAUUCCGCACAUCAAAAUUAAGUCAUACACAAAAUUCUUGUCUUAUGUUAUCACACUAGUUGUUGCUCUAAGUGUGAUCUUGAUCUUUGUUCUUACUGUGUUCAUAUUGCUUAUCUAGAAGCACUAAACACCUUCUUGUAAUUCUAAAAUAGUUGUUAUAAAUUUCCUCAAGUGAUUUGUGAAGUCUGUAGACUUGAGAGGAGUAAGAGAUCAGUGUACUCUUAGAUGUUUGUUGUAAUCUUUCUUGAUUAUUGGAUUAAGUCUUUAUUGAAGGCGAAAUUACCUUGGCCAGGUAGACUGAAGUAACUUUGAAUUUCAAGAGAACCAGGAUAAACUUUUGCGUUGUUUGUUUUGAUUUUUGUGUGUGUGGCGUUUCCAAAAGUUUUUAUUGUCACUGAAAACAAUUCAAACCCCCCUUUUUUGUUUUUCUCUAUCUUCAAACUCCUAAUUAUGAAGGCCCAUUAUAUUGUCAAGAGAGCCUUCGCGGUGCAUUGAUUCUUACAACUAUGGAUGGUGAGGAGUUCACGCGUCAUGUGAAUGCCGAUGCAGUCAAGAAAUUCUUUGCCUAAAAAAGGAAAAGAAUAGCUCUCUAAGUUGAAAACCCAAAAGGGCCGCUUAGGCAAAAAUGAGCAUCUCGGUGGAUUGAAAACAUGAAAGGGCGAACCAGGAAAAAGUUAGAGACAUAAAACAGAAAAUUUAUCCCGGUAUAAUGAGUACCCCACCUUGGGGAAAUCUAGAAAAAAAUUAGGGAUCUUGGCAAGUAACUGCAUCCAGCUGGUCCAAAUCAUUAAAGUAGUCUUGAGUAGUCAUUUGGUUCUGAUUCAUCAUUCUCAACCGAAGACAAGCCCAGUGGAUUUUGAAGUUGGUAGGGAGAGUAGUGAUCAUUGUAUUCAAUGUAGUCCUUUUUCCAUUUAAAUUACCAUUUUUCAAACUUUGUAAAGAUCUAUAGAGUCCCGCCAUUUGCGGACUACCAUUCUAUUAAAUAAAGUUGAGCUUUUAUCUAAUUAUUUGAUAUUCUUAGUUAUUUAUAUUUUAAAAUUGAAUUUUUAUGACGAUAAUUUUGAAAUAAAUCAAUGAAUAAUUAUUUUUCUUAAGAUAAUAAAAACUUUCACUUCAAGAAUAAUCGAUUUCGGUAAGGAAGGUCAACAACAAUCUAAGAACAAGUAAGUCUUGAAGUGUGAAACAUUGUUGUCUUCCCCAAGCAGUUGGUUUGAUGACUUUUUCCUCCCCAACAGUUUGUUGUUCAUUCCCAGCAUGGUUAAUAAGUUGCUCCCCAAGCAACCUAUUAUCCCCGGUUGAGCUGAUGAUUGGUCCCCUUUGAAGUUUAUCUUCACCGACUGAAGUAUCCAUGUGUUGCAUUCCCCAGUUUGUGACUUAAUGAUUGAACCCUAGAUAUCUUGGAACCUUUAUUUGGUCUCCAGACUCCCAAUUGCAUUUGUUUGUAUUGCAUAAUCGCGGUAGUUUCUCCCUUGUGUGAGUCAGAUUCGAUUAUCUUUGCCUUGGAAUUGGUUUAUUUCGCAAUCUCCCAGAAGAAUCUGAUGAUUAUUGAGAGUCUGGUGGUCUUUGAUUUGUCCCAGCAGGUCACGAGAUCGCUAGCAAUUUGCACGAUUCCCCAUUCAGAGUUUUACCUCUUGAAUCCCUGGAGGAGUUUUGUCGUCUGAUAAAAGUUCCUUCAUUCCUGACAGUGUUUGGUUCUGAGCAUUAUUAAUUAAGUCCCCUGCAAGGUUGUCUCCCAUUUGAUAUGGUGUUGACUUAAAAUUCCCCGUAGCGUUGACUCGUUUUAGGAUCCUCAGUAGAUCAAUCUUUAUCCUUCAGCAGUGUUGUCUUUCCCCACGAAUUUUACCGUGAGUUGGUUGGAAACAUGUUCUCCGUGUCUUUCCACAGCCAGAGAUUGAUUUAUUCGGAGCUAGAUGAUUUAUGUUCAUCCCUAGAAGAAUCUCCAGUGGUUGUUUCCAUUCUGUUGAGAUUAGCCGUUUGUUUUGUAGUGAUGAUUCAAAUCUUCGUUAUUUGUAUCCUUUAGGCUGUUUUGUCAGCAUAAUCAUAAUCAUGCAUGUAUAUUCAUGCAUAAAUCACAACAUCAUAUAUUUCAUUAUGCAUUUUAUCGCAUUGAUUUUUUUCUGAUCGCCUGCUUUGGUGAUAUUAUUUCCCCAUACAGAUUUGGUGUGUCUUUCCUCCUUCAAUUAAAGAGUGUCAGCCCCUUAAGUAGAAAGAGUUUAUCCUUUCUCAUUCCCCACUGAGUUAUUUCCUUGUGGAUGAUCAUUAUUUCAGCUUCCUCCUCAGAGUAUCAUCUGGAUUGAACCAUUCCCCUUAAGUUACAUCAUCAUUGGGUUGAGUCUUGUUUGACUGUUUCUUUCUAGCUCUUACCUAGAUAGAUCUUUUGGUCCCCGAGAGUUUAUUACUCAGUAACUGGUAAUAUUCUUCUUGAUGAUUGAGUACUUUACCUUCACCCAUUAACCGGUAAAAGGUAAUUUACCCCUUUGUUUUCCCCAGCGGAUUCAUUUUCACGUUUCCUCGGCAAGUCUAUCCUUGAUAUCUUCACCCUAACCGAUGACGGAUAUUCUUCCUGUUUGGUAUUCUACCCAGUAAAAAGGUAGUUGUAAUCCCUAUAUUAUUCUCUAGAGAGUCUAUCCUUGAUAUGUUCACUUUAACCGAUGAUAGAUUUUCUCUUCUUUGCAGUAUUCAACCCAGUAACUGGUAGAUAUAAAAUCCUAUUUCCCCCUCUGAGUCUAUCCUUGCUAUGUUCACUUUAGUCAGUGACAGAUACUCACUCUUUGGUAUUCUACCCAAUAAUCGGUAGUCGUAAUUCAUAUUUUUCCCCGGAAGUCUAUCCUUGAUAUGUUUACCCUAACCGGUAACGAAUAUUCUUCUUCAUUCCCUAGGUGGUCUAUCCUUGAUAUGUUCAUCCUAACCGAUAACAGAUAUUCUUCCUUUGAGUUUAUCCUUGAUAUUUUCAAUUUAAUAAGUGACACAUACUCUCUCUUUGGUCUUUGGCUCAAUUGCAGGUAGUUGUAAAUUCUAUUUGAUUUCCUUUCCCUAGUAGGUCAUUCUUACCUAGUAACCGGUAAUGAAUGCGCCUUAUUUUCCUCAGUGAGUCAUCCUUGAUAUGUUUACCCUAACCGGUACCGGAUGUUCCUCUGUCAGAGUCUAUUAUCUUCUUACCCAGUAACCGGUGGUAGAUAAUAUGUCUCUUUUACUCCUGUGCUGAAGUUUUUCUUCCCCAAUUGAGUUUGAGUUCAUAUUUCUUUAUGAAAACAAAUUUCCUUUUGGCUUGAGUAUUUCAGUUUUGUUCUGAUUGACUCUCGUCCCCUGUAGAUUCCUUUAUCCCCAGUCCGAGUUUUUCCAUUGAUUUAUUUUCAUGGAAAUCCCCUCGUGUCUCCCAUCAAUUUUUCAAGUCAUAGCCUGGCCUAUGCAUAACUUUUAUCCCCCAGAGUCUCUGUCUCCCUAGUGAGUUUUCCUUACGGAAUGCAUUGUGCUCCUGUGGACUUUUAGUCUCUCUGGAUUCUUUUCCUUUUGGCAAUAUAUUCCUUACAAAGAUUAUUUUAACAUUCAUAUCAUAUGCAUCAUGAGGUCUCUUAGGGACCAAUUUUUUUUCUUGAUGUUGUUAUUUAAAUCCAUUAUACUAAGUUGAUAUGAAGAUUUUAACCUUCACUUCCUCAGCUAGAAUGUCCUUAAAUAGCGGCAGUUGUAAGACCCCAAUUUUGACCAUAAGAUCCCUCAUGCUAUCUCAUCAUUUGCAUUGGCUUUGGGAUCACACCUUGGCAUCCUCGUAACCCCUCAUUAAUUGGGUUUGCAUUGGGAGAGAUCACCAAGCAUAUUUGAUUGUAUGAUACUUUAUUUUAUUUUGUUUACUAACCAAAACACCAAAAAUAUGUCAAUGUAUAGCUUUGUUUCUUUUGUAGGUAGUGUGUGUGCAUCCAUUUAUGCCAUAUCAAGCUUACAAGUAGGGUUUGAGACCCUCAUAGCAAGAGAUAAAUCAGGGAAUGGUUCACCAUUGGUUCUAAACAUCAUAUAUGGAUCUCCGUGUUCUUCAUUUAUCAUUUUGAUCAAGAAUUCAUCAAGAGUUUGAAGUUUCUUUGCCUUGGGAGCCCUAACUCAUUUGGGUAUUUUGUUUGACUUCCUCAGCAAGUUUCUUCAACAAUUGGUCAAAUAUAUAAAGGGAUACUUCAUUAUAUGUAAUAUUAUGCAUAUAUGAUCCUCCAUUAUCUUUAAAGAUCAAGAGAACUUCAAUAUUGCAAGUUGGUUCAAAGAGGUUGACCAGAGAAAGUCAACUAGUCAAAACUAGGGUUCCCUAGACCCUAUCUCCUACAAUUUUUGUCAUAUGAAAAUGAUUACAAGAGAAACUUUACUCUUUAUGAAAUUCAAAACAACUUUCAUGUUGGCAUCAAUAGCUAGUUUUGCUUGGAAAGUCAUUUUUUUAUGGUGAAACAUUAUAGGUCAUUUUGUAUGUGCCCUAGUUAGGAGGUCAACUUCCAAGGACCAUAAAUUGCUCAAUUUUUAUGAUAUGAAGUCCAUACAAGUUUCAUGAUCAAUUUCAAGGUGUCUUAUAAAACUUUUAUUAUUUGAGAAAUGUCAAAUUCAACUUUAAAGGGUAUGUGCCAAGAGGAAACAUUAUAGGUCAUUUUGGGCCAUCACCAUUAAACAAGCAAUUUUCCUCAAAUUCUAAAAUACAUAACUCCCUCAUGAAAAAUCCAAAUGAUGUUAAAUUAUUGACCAGAUUGAAGAGGAAUCAAAGAUCUAUAACUUUUAUGAAGAAGCCAUUUCCAUUUGAAGCUCAUAGCAAAAGUUAUUCAAGGUGGAAGAAGUGAUCAUUUGACUUUGUACUUAGAAAAGUUUCAACUAUGUUUGAUUUCUCCCACUUCCACCUCAAAAUGCAUCAUGAUCCAAGCUCCAAAUGAAAAUGUGUUCAACAUAAAAGUUGUUUCCCUUGAUGUCACCUUUCCAAAAAGUCCAUUAUCACUUCAUUUGGACAAGAAUUGAGGGACUUGCGAAUGGUUCCUUUGGUGGGCAUGUUUUGGCAACAUUUGAACUCAAAUGGUUAUUUCCUUUUGCAUGCUUCCAUGUGAUGACUUCAAUAUCCAUUAUGCACGAAUUGGAGUUGGAUUACAUCAUGAUUUGGGCCUAAUUCAAUGCCCAUACACCCAUGCACCAAUGUUUCUAUUUUUGGCCAAAAUUGAAAAGGUGCAAAACUGAAUUCCAUAGCCUAUAAAUACAACUAAUUGCUUCAAGAUCAACACACACACACUGCCCAAGCCUUGCCAAGCUAUCUUAGAACCCCACUCCAUAGAAUUGCUUGAAGGUUUCUUUGAAAUUGAGUUUGAACUUCACCUUCUGUUUUGAGAUUCAAACUCCAAGGAUUCAUUCCCAUUUUCAUCUCAAUUGGUCACUGCAAGCAAGAGGAGGAAGAAUCAAGUGAAUUCAGAUCAAGAUCAAGCCAAAUCACUGCUACCCGAAGGUGAAUUUUCUCAAACUUUUCUUCUUCGAUUUCCCUUAUCUCUCAACUAUUUUGAUUGAUUAUCGGUUGUCUUAAGACCUACCAAUGUAGGAAACAAGAUUGAGUUGCUUUGAGGCCAAAUCGAAGCAACUCAGAUCGUGCACCUCAAAAUUCAAUUCCUCAUAUCUCUCAAUAUAUUUGGAAUUGGACAAAAUUGAGGCCAGAUUCGAGCUCCUGAGCAUUUUUCCUUUGAAUUAGUGUACUCACUUUUUAUUUUAGUGAAGGUUGGUGGUGGACCAGUCUGGUGAGGUCCACCAGAGAAGGAGGCCGGAGCUAGGGCUCCGGUUGUGCGUUGGCGCCUUCCCAACCUUCUUACCUGAUUCAAAUGUUUGAAUCAUGGCCCUUGGUUUUAACUACCACGCGUGUGGCGCAUUGACUUGGUUCCACCAUGUUCCCUAUGCGCGUGGCCAUCAGAUCUGCCACCUCAAUUAAUUAGGGAGAUCCGAUGGCCCUUGUUUUUUUUUAAUUUCUGAUUUUUCAUUUAAUCCCUUUAUUUUGUUAGUUCAUAUUAAUUUAAUUUUUAAUCCAAAAAAUAUGGGACUUUCACCAAAAAUGUUUAAAUAUUUUUCUUUCAUAUUUUAAAUUAAAAUUAUUUUUUGGAUUAACUUUUAUAUUUUUCAUGAAUUAAAUGUUUUUUUUAAUUUUUUUAAUUGUUUUAAAAUACUAAUGACUUUCCAAAAAUAUUGAAAUUUUUUGUCUAAGGUCAUUUGACCUUGUUUGACCUAGGAUAAAUCCCUUGGCCAUUUGUUUGGUGUUUUGAAGGGAUUUGAGGUUUUGUCCUUUUUAAAAUGCAUUUUAAUUCACUUUUAAUUAUUUUUAAUUGAUUAAAUGUUUAAAAAUUAUGUUGAGCCAUUUUUAUGGUCUUGUGAUGUUUGACUUUCUGUUUGGAUCUUGGUCAUGGUUGAUUUAACUUUUGUUUGAUCAAUACCAUUGGAUUUAGGGGAUUGUUGAAAUGUACAUUUCAUCUCCCAAAAUGAAUGGAUAGUAUUGAUCAGAUGAAAUUCCUAUCAUGAUCAAUUUGUGUUUCUAUUUCCCCUUCCCUCUUCAUCUUCAUCCCUAUUCUUUCCCAAUCCCUCAUUGACCAAUGAAAUCUCUUCAUGUUUAAUGCUAGUUGAUUCAUCAACGACCUUGUGUCAAAUGAAUCAACAUGAGCCAGAAUGAGAUAGGUCCUCCCCCCAUUUCUUUUAAGUGUUUAGUAUGUUUUAGGAGUCUGGUUCCUUAUACCAAAUCUCUAACAUGCAUUAACACCUAUAUUUUUAUUGCCCGACCAUAAUGUAGCGGUAAAUUCAUGACCACUAAGUUAUGGAUAAGCUUAACAUCAAUAAAACCAGAGUCGCCACUGUGCUUUUAUUGUUUCCAAAGGAAAAAGGAAAGGUAGGAACAAUACCCAAAGAUAAGAAGUUUUCAAAUCAAAACUAAUAAAAUGCCAGAGACUACAGGUAAGGGGGUUGGUUACACAGAGGGAAGGUGUUAGCCCCCAAAGUGUCCUAGGUACUCCUAGGGAGCCUUUUUUUAUGUGUGCAUGUGUUUUUGGUAUAAAUGAUGUUUGAAAAAAAAAUAGAGUGUGGGGAUGAGAAAAGAAUUCAUUGAUUAUAUUUUUGUGUUUGACAAGACCUUCGGACUUGUGCCUACGUACCAACAUAAAAAUGAGGGAUCAAAACCUCGUAGUUCGUGGUAACAAAUGAGAAAAGAAUUCAUUGAUUAUAUUUUUGUGUUUGACAAGACCUUCGGACUUGUGCCUACGUACCAACAUAAAAAUGAGGGAUCAAAACCUCGUAGUUCGUGGUAACAAUUUCAAAGUUGGUGAACUGCUUUUAACAAAAUUUUAAAUGAAAAGGCACCAAGGGGCCAAAAAAAUUGAAUGGGUUUGUUAGUUCUUUUUAUCUUUUUUUGAAAUUUUAAGUAAAUAUGAUUAAGUUUAUUUACAAUUUUGACUUAAGAAAGAGUUUGAAAAUUCAAUGGCAUAAGGCCAAAGUUUCUAAUCAUUUAAACAAAGUCUAAGUUUGAAAUCACAAGCAAAGAAAGUUUUUGACAAGGGGGAGAGAUUUUGAAAUUUAAGAAGUGGGAGGAGAUGAAGAGGCUAUCCUAAGCGUAAAAUUAAAAGUUAAUAGUUGAAAAGAUUUGACCAAUGGGAUGCAAUCUAACAGACAAGAAUGUCAUAUAGAAACUCGUUUUCCCUUGGACUUUGAAUCAAGCAAUAAUCAAUAAGCAAUUAGCAAUAUCAGACAUCAUGAAGAUCAAGACAUCAAAUAAAGAUAGCCAUAUCUAAGCAAGCAACUCCUUAGCUAGCAGUCUUCUUUAUCUUCUCAUGUAUCAGAUGGGAUAUUCCUUGAUCAACUUAGAAGAAAGCAUCAGACAUAAGAUCAAAAUAACAAUUAGCACCAAGACAAAGCAACAUAUGAAUUCAAACAGAGUCCCAAGGCUUGCAUCAGAUGAAAGCUUAGUUCACAAUAACUUGAUUUCAAAAUGUUGGCAUUGGCCAAGUCCUUUUUGCACAGGGAAUGUUGCCUAAUCCUAAGUCCAAAGGUUCAGAUUAAGAUCAACAGUCCACCAAACAUUUUUUUAGGGUUUUUUGUUGUUUAUUAUGUAUUUUAAGGUCCUAAGACCAUAAACAAAAUCAAAAUGCACAAACAAAUAUAUACAAUCACAAGAUAUGGCUCAAAUGAGCAAAGUGAAAAUGACAUAAACAUAAACAAGUUAAAUGAAAUGUAAAUGACAAUGAAUGAUAAAUGACUGAAAAUUAAAUUGCAUAAAGUAAAUGACUUGAAAGUAAAGCGAUAUUAAUAAGAAUUAGUCAUAUGUUAGUCAACUGUUAGUGGUAUUUUUGUUUUUUAAUGGAUUAAGUCAUUAUUUGGAGAACACUCAACCAUCCAUUCACAAGCACGGGUCCUUAAACCAAGACAUCUUCGAUGGUGUCGUACCCCAAUUUUGUCCGAGCAUAUUUAAAUUUUUUCAUACAAUCGAUCUCAUUUUUUUUCAUCACAUACAUACCAUUACAUACAUUUGCAUCAUGAAUAAAUGCCUAAAAUGUCAGUCGAAAUGAAUUUAUUGGAGAAUACAGACAAAAUCAGUUGAAUCGUUAAAAUUUGAGGAAAACAGUGUAUUUUUCAAAUAAUAUGUUUUGUGCUGAUACCUCAUUACAAGAAUCUCCCCUACCUUGCUAAAGGAUGGGUCAUUGUGUGCUGAAGGAGAUAACACCUGCAUACUCUAACAAUAUGCCUCACAGGCUACGACGCCAAUGCUCCUGUGAGUAUCACAUGGGUGCCCCAAGGCAUACAAUAAAGAAUUGUAAGGCUUUCAAAGCACAAGGUUCAAAGAUUUGAUUGACAGUAUAGAUUAUUCACGCCGCGUCGACGGCCAAAACGUUGCAACAAACCACCAUGCCGGCGCAUGCACGAGUCGAAGUGAACCUCGAAAGAUAAAAGCUCCCACGGCCUGAACAAACAAAGCAAAGUUCCGCCGAAGAAUCCAAAGAUGAAGGCAUGUUCAUUUGAAUGAAGGCAUCAUUAUGCCCUUCUUUAACCAAUUUCACAUUCUUUGUAAUUUUGAUCUUGUUUGUUUAAGUAAUUUGUUAUGCUUUGAACAAUUGUUGUUUUAAUUUGGUCUUAUUAAUGGGAUAAUUAUAAUGCAUGCCGUUUGAAUCAAUCUUUCCAUAUUCAGCUCAAUUAUACAUUUGCUAUGCACAAAACACAUACUUUUUCACCUCACAUUCUUCAAUCACACAUGUUAGUAAAUGUUUGGAAGGAGGAUGACAAAACAAAAAUCUCAUAAUUAACUGAUCGUAUCUUUCGGAUAAAAUCCUACUAAUGAUGUAUAGACAUUGUUUCAAAUCCCCAAACACUGGAGAGAUAGAGGAGUUAAUCCCUAGUCAACACUCGAGCCUAGAAGUAGGAGUAUUUCUUUCGGAUCUAAAAAAAACCCUUACGUUAACCUGGGCAGGGUAGUGUUCAGUUAAUUUGACUACACAUUUAAAAUUUACAAGAAUAAAUAUCCAUACAAAGGAUCAACCAUAUGACAUUGCUUCCACACACAUCUUGAGUGUCGAGGAACCAUCUACAAAUCAAAUUUAUGUCGGUUGUUUCUGUAAUAUGACCAAUGACUGUGGCAGUCUCAAAUUUCAAAAAAAAGGUCAGAGAUAGAGCCCGCUAAGUCCAACAGCCGCGCCUUAAAAGGGGACCUUAGGAAAAAACAGGGGCAAUCCCGAUGGAUUAAAAGCUGGCAGACAAAGCGUCCCAUGCAAAAAGUUAGUGGAUCAAAACAAACCAAAAAUCAAGAGACUAAUGAAAGUCUCCCAACAAAAAAAACAAGAUCAGUGACCACGCAUAACCGAAAAUCCAAGACAGGGUCACCGGACAUCAAAAAAACGAAAUAAGUGCUCGCCAUCCAAGAAACCUUGAAUCACAUCUAUUAUCCUUACACCUGCCAAAGAACGAAUGAGUGGUUGAAUUAACUGAACAUGGCAUUGGAGAUCAUCAUGAAAGAAAAGGGUGGGUUAAAAUACUUGAGCCUUAUAUCCUUUUUGUUUCAAUAACCAUGACCAGCCACUUACCAACCUUCAAAAGACCUAAUUGAAGUAGGGUUCUGUUCUGAAAGCAUACUUAUAAGCACAGGUUGAAGUAAACUGACUCCUAAGAGAUUUGCUAAUAUUCCUCUUCUCACUAAUAUCACUCACACACUAGCUAAAUCCAAGCACGCUCGUUUGGACACAUGGUCCACCGUCACACAUUCACCACACACACUCCAAAUGAGCACGUGCGUAAUUGUUUUUUUACUAUAGCUUGCAUAACUAUUGCCAUUAAAAAUCAACCAUUUCUGGAAUAACAAUUCUUAAUUGUCAGUCCAGUACUUUGAAUCAAGAAAAUUCCAAGAAGGGCCAUUCAAGAGGCCACUUGAUCGUUGGUGCUGAACACAAUCAGAGCACCGCUGUGAAAUCAGGGGCAUGUCAUCUUUUGAUCAUGUUGACACUAAGAAGUAGCCAGUAUAAGACAAAUCUCCAAGCAUCGUUGAUCAGGGAGGAAAGACACUUAAAAUACCUCCAGGCAGUCCGGGGCAGGUUCCCUCAAAGGCUAAUCAGGGCAGGAACCCCCAAGCCCAGAUUUGUUUUUGAACCAAUCAGAAAAAACCCAAAAACUCAGACGCACGUCAUGGAUAAUCACUGCCCUAAAAGUUUCCUGUCAAGGGGAAAAAAGGGCAAAUUCCUUAUUGAACACGCCUACAGUCAGGGCAAGACGAUUUGCAAGGGGCAGAUUUCCUUCAUAUCUUCAAGUCAGUCCAAGCAGAUUGCAUCAGACACUAGUGACUGCUUGAAUUUCACAAGUAGUCGAAAGUUCAUAUCGCAUAACAAUAUCAUAAUCCUUCAUGACAGAAUACCAUUAGGGCACUGUCGGCUGGCACGAUCAUCAUGCGUUGAUCACGUCGCUAUGCUCAGUUACAGGCUGGCCAGACAAUCUCAAAGGAAGAGAUCGAUGUCUCUCGAAGACAAAUCACACAUGUAUCAGCAAGAGUCAAACUGGAUGGGGCCACCCAGAGUAUCCGCAUCUACUGCGUGUUCAUCAUAUCAUCAAACUACGAGGUGUCGGGAAGAUCAGAAUCUUCCACUAACCGCGAUGGUCCAAAUCUACAUUGACAAUUACCAGAAAGACCAAAGCCCCACCUCGCUGGCAUCCACAAUAAAACGCAAAUAGAACCAGCAUUGGUUUCACAAAUACAUUGCCUUUUGAAAAGGGGGCCAAUCCAAAACAAACCAAUACAUCUUUGCAUUGCAAACCAUGCAUCAACCAUGCACAUAUGCGAUCACUCAUUACAUAAUGCAUACAUGAAUAUUUAUCCAAUGACAAAAUAUCAAAAAUCCAAGUUUUAGGUCGUUAGGAUCCAAGGCCAGCCCCUCAGUUGAGUCAUUGUUUUCUGAGUGAGUUUCCUAACCCUGCCUAUCGGGCGCGUUCCCAGUGGACGUUUACAUCUUUAACUUUUGUUGAAUAAAGAUGUUAUCUCUCAGCUAAGUCAAACAAUGUUUUCCAACACUUUACCGUGUUUCGCGUUGAGCGUCCCUCAUUGAGUCCCGUUUUCAUGUACCUUUUGUUGAUGGGGAAACUAGCACCUCCCUAGAGGAGUAUUAUUGUUCUGCAACCUUUAUGUUGGUGGACUACCCGAAGCAAAGUCCUUACGUCAGUAUGUUUCCAACACUACUCAGCAAAUCAGGUUAGUAUGAACUUUGACCAGUAGCCUAUUUUUCCAAUAUUCUUUUCUCCAACUAUCCAUCCUUUUGGUGAAAGUCCGUUGAAGAAUAAAUUGAUCAUCGUCUGUUUAUGAUCACACCGUUAUCCUUUUGGUAAUGGUACAUCCUUGCAUUUGUGAACUUACUGCUCAUCCUUUUGGUGUCGACGAUCCCUUGAAAGUUUUGGGCCCUACCUUCAAUCUUUGGUGAGAUGGCGACCUCUGCAAUAUUACAGUCUACCGUCAUCCCUUUUGGUGUCGGCGAUCCUUAUGGGAUAGGCCGCUUGGUCAUUUUGGUUCAAUCAUCAUCCUUUUGGGAUGACGUCCAGUUUAAUCCAAUAUCAAUCUUUUGUGGAUAGAGAAUGAUGGAGUUCAGUUUAAGCUAUCAAUCCUUUUGGUGAUGGUGACCAUUUGGAAAAGUGCCAACCCGCACUGUCAUCCUUUUGGUGUCAGUAAUAUUUGAAGUUCAUUAUAACUUAUUAUCACCUUUUGGUGGUAACCAAGUUUCAAAGUUUAUGAUCUCACCUCAUCCUUUUUGGUGAUGGUGAGGUUGUGGAUUCCAUUAUCAUACCUUUUGUGAUAACGGUUCUGUGUUGUGUAGUACCGUUCAUCCAUUUUGUGAGGUGACUAUUGAUCUUAUUAUCAUCCUUGUUGGUGAUGAAACAAGUUGUUGUUGGAUGGUCCUUACCUCAUCCUUUUCGGUUGACGGUGACCAUUUGAGUUAUGGGGCUCAUUAUCAUCCUUUUGGUGAUAACAGUUUGUUUUUGAUCUACCCUCAAUCCUUUGGUGAUGGCGAUCACUGAGUCUGUUUCAGGUUAUCAUCAUCCUUUUUGUGAAACAAGUAUUGAAGAUCCUGUCUUUAUCAUCCUUUUGGUGAUAAACAAGUUCGGCUUUGGUUUGAUCUUACUGUCACACUUUUGGUGUCAGUGAUAUUUACGGUUGUUGACUUAUUAUCAUUAUCCUUAUUUGGUGAUAACAAGUUUGGUAGUCUUGAUACCUACCUCAUCCCUUUUGGUGUGGUGAUCAAUUGCGUUAUGUGCUUAUUAUCAUCCUUUCGUGGUAACAAGUUUCGGUCUUUUAAUUAUACCUUCAUCCUUUUGGUGAUGGUUUAUUGUUGAUUAUUAUCAUUCCUUUGGUGGUACGAAGUUUGUGUCUUGGAUCCACCUUCAUCCUUUGGUGAUGGUGAUCAAUUGUCGUGUGUGCUAUUAUCAUCCUUUAGGUGGUAAACAGUUUUGUCUCGUUUGACAAUUACCUUCAUCCUUUUGGUGAUGGUCGAUUGUUGACUUAUUAUCAUCCUUUUUGGUGGUAACAGUUUUGUGUCUUGAUUCUUACCUCAACCUUUUGGUGACUGUGAUCAAAUUGCGGUUGUAAAUGCUUAUUAUCAUGCCUUUGGUGGUCAACAAAGUUUUGUACGUUUGACAAUACUUCAAUCCUUUUGGUGAUGGUGACUGUUUGACUUAUUAUCAUCCUUUUGGUGAUAACAAAGUUUUGUGUCUGAUCCUACCUUCAAUCCUUUUGGUGAAUGGUGAUCACAUUGCGUGUGUGCUUAUUAUCAUAUCCUUUGGGAACAAGUUUUUGUCCGUUUGGCAAUACCUACAAUACCUGUUGGUGAUGGUGAUGUCGACGUUAAUUAUCCAUCCUUUGGUGAUAACAGCUGUGGUGUCUUGGGACCUACCUUCAUCCUUUUGUUGAUGGGUGAUUCAAUUGCGUGUGUAACUUAAUAUCAAUCCUUUUUGGUGAUAACGAGUUUUGUCGUUUGACAAUACCUUAUAUUCCUUUUGAUGAGGUGAUGUUGACGUUAUUAUCAUCCACUUUUUGGUGGUAACAAAGUUUUUGUGUCUUGAUCCUACUCGAUCCUUUUGGUUGAUGGUGGGCAUUGCGUGCUGUAUUAAUCAUCCUUUGGUGGGUAACAUGUUUAUCUUUUAAUUAUGCCUUCACCUUUUGGUGAUGGUGAUUAUCACUCCUUUUGGUGAUACAAGGUUUUGUUUUGCUCAAUUACUAUCAUCCUUUGGUGCUGGUGAUCAUUGAGUUUCGACUUAUUAUCAUCGCUUUUGAGUGAUAACAAGUUUGUCUUGAUAUUACCUUCAUCCUGUUGGUGAUGGUGAUCAAUUGCGUGUGACUUAUAUCGUCCUUGGUGGCGAUAACAAGUUUGUGUCUUUAUAAUUAUACCCUUCAUCCUUUUGGUGAUGGUGAUUGGUUGACUAUUAUCAAUCCUUUUGGUGAUGAACAAGUUGUUGUGUGAUUAUACCUUCAUGCCUUUUGGUGAUGGUGAUCAUUGAAGUUAUUUGACUUCUUAAUAUCCUUUUGGUGGGAUAACAAGUUUUUGUAUUGAUCUUACUUCAAUCCUUUUGGUGACGGUGAUCUUUGAAGUUUGAUGAGUUCAACUAUCAUCCUUUUGGUGAUAGCCCUUGAUACUAUAUCUCGGUAAUAGGAAAACUUUAUCAGAAUAACCACAAAUCCUUUUAGUGACGGCACAUCAUCCUUUUGGUGAAUGAAAACCUUUAAGAUUUGGAUUUGUGUUUAACUUUCAUCCUUUUGGGAUAGCAAAAGAUUUGUUGUUGAAUCUUACCAUCAUCACUUUUGGUGAUGGUGGAUCGUUUGUGUAUCCACUGUAACCAUAAUCUUUUGGUGAUAACUACUCGUUGAAGCUCGGUUUAUCCAUCAUCCUUUUGGUGAUGACAGUCCUGGACAAUCAUGGUGAAUUCUAUCAUCUUUGGUGAUGGACCAUUAACUUGGAUGUCAUCUUUUGGUGUCAGAAAACAAUGUACAGUUUUGUCUUUACAUUAAAAAAAAAAAAAAAACUGUGACAAGAUUUGAAUGUUGACUCGAGGGUUGCACUGAUAUCUGACAUUCUACCCCUACUACCUUGGUGCUGUUAGAAUCCAGUGCAUUUUCUUUCUGCAUCCAUUCCAUUGGCAUUUCAUAAUGAUCAAUAAUUCGGCAUGCCUUUCGUAUUUAAUUAACCUUCCACCACGAAAUGUAUGAUGACCGUUGUCAUUACUAACCUUCUAGUUCAAGAUCAAUUUAAUAGGGCAGACCCCCCCUCCUGAGGUCUUCAUCCAUAUCUAUCAUCAAUUCUAACUUCUCGAAGCAAGCAGAUAAACAGUCAACUAAACAGUCAAAAUAGCAAAAUCAGACUAAGAGGUUCCCGUUGAGUACAACGGACGUAAGGGGUGCUAAUACCUUCCCCUUGCGUAAUCGACUCCCGAACCCGAAUAUGGUUGGGAUGACCAUUAUUCUUAUCUUUAAAGGUUUUCUCGAUAUUUUCAUAUUCCUUCAUUGGAAUAAAUAAAGUUCGGUGGCGACUCUGUUUCGAACAUUUUUUCCGCGUCCUAUCGCGAGGGAUUGCAUUAUCAUCAUUUUUUGAGGUGUGACAGACUGGCGACUCUGCUGGGGACCCUGCUCCAAGCAAGAGAGAGUCUAGCCUAACUUAGUCUGAUUUUGCUAUGACUGUUGGAAGAUAUUUUUUUUCCAUGUUUAUUUCUCUGUAUUUUAUUUUGAUUUCUUGUGUUGUAUGUAAUUUGUCUCGAUACUUUGAUAUGGGACUUGGUGUAUGCUGUGAGAUAAGCUCCAUACCCGAGCUUCGAGAAAAACUUAGAACCCGGAGUUGUGUAGUAUUGAACCGGGGGGUGUACACCUCAUUGGGACAAUACGAAGACUCUUUGGAGUUUCCCCAUCAACAAUAAUGGCUAACCAUCAUUGUGGGGGAGGUUUAACACGAUCUGUGACUUCUAGAGACCUCGCCUUAAACCCCAAGUUUUUGUUCAUGAUUGGUGAUUAUGUCCGAAGGGUCUACACCCUGUUCGAACAAUACGAGAAUCCCACUUAGAUUAGAUCAGUUCAGAACUCCCAUCACGAUGUGGCUAGCCCACCAUUGCGAGGAAGUUUUGAACUUGAUCCGUGAGUCUAAGUUCCUUCCUUGAAAAUAUAACUUUAGAACCUACCUUUGGGAAUUUCUAGUGAUCAAAGAAACCUUUGCUUCUUCCAGUUGUACUGAUGUACUCGACAUGUGGAUAAUUUUGAGUCUGUAUUCCUCUGUGAAAAUCAUGGCAAAACUUCAUGCAUUUGCAUAUCAUCAACAUGCAUUGCAUAUCAUCUCCCAGAAACAAAAACUCACACCAUAUUCUACCCUUUGUCCAGUAACGCUGACCACUCGACACCGGUACGAGACACGCCGCAACUACAAGAUGACACUUGAACAGUUGGAAGAAAACCAGGUUUCGAUGAGAACCGACAUUGACUCCAUGCAGGCAAAGAUGGAUCGCUUAAUGGAAACCAUGUUACUCUUAGCCCAAAAGGAAAAGGAUGCAGAGACUAGCGCUGAAGUCAGGAAAGUUGCUGCCCAGUUUGGAUCGCCAUCACUUAGCAUCCCUGGAGUAACUGACCUCGAUGGUAACCCAACCCAGCUUGGAGGAGGACCGAUCCAUAUUCCUGUUCCCAUGGUCAACAUGAACCCCCACGAGCAUUCUCCUACAUCUGCUUGCCAUGGAUCCAUGAUGGGUGAUGAAGAUCCAUACGACGCCUUCUUCAUGCCACAACCCGCCAAACCUGCUGUUGGGGGUCUCCCAGACCCAACUGUUGAUAGACUCCAUGCUUUGGAGGAAAAGUUUAAGUCCUUGGAGGUUCACACUACUCCCGGUUUGGACGUUGUUGACAUGUGCCUGGUGCCAGGAUUGGUGAUUCCACAGAAGUUCAAAGUCCCGGACUUUGAAAAAUACAAAGGGAUCAGUUGCCCGAGAACUCACCUCAGAGCCUACUGUCGCAAAAUGGCUGCCCACAUCAGUAAUGAUCAACUCCUAACUUAUUACUUCCAAGAUAGUCUCAGUGGGGCAUCCUUGGAGUGGUACAUGCAACUAGAGAGAGGUCAGGUCCAGUCGUGGAGAGACCUUGCUGAAGCAUUCCUAAGGCAUUAUCAGUACAAUACUGAUCUAGCGCCCAACCGCACCCAACUGCAAGACAUGACUCAACGCAACAACGAGUCAUUCAAGGAAUACGCCCAGCGUUGGAGAGAGCUAGCAGCUCGUGUUCAACCUCCUCUCCUUGACAAAGAGUUAAUCGACAUGUUUAUGGGAACCCUGCACACCCAAUACAUGGAAAAGAUGGUAGGAUCCAGUUUCCCAACUUUUGCUGAGGUCGUCUCCGUGGGAGAACGGAUCGAGAGCCAGAUCAAGAAAGGAAAGCUACCUUGUGCUGCUAAUGCUUCAAGUGGGAUAAAGAAGCCUUAUCCCAACCUCCCAAAGAAGCCAGAAGGGCAGACCAAUGCCAUAACGAGAGGAGGAGGAUAUAGGGCACCUCCAUAUGCUCAUACGCCUUAUCAUCAGGUUUCCACGGUCAUCCCAACGCCAUAUCAGCCUCCACACCAGCAACCAUAUCAGAAACCAUAUCAACAACAGUAUCAACAACCUUAUCAACAGCCGGCUUACCAACAACAAUAUCAGAAUCAACAGCAACGUGCUCCACAACGUCAACCUAACCAGCAAAGGGCAAGGAGGCCAGAGAGACAUUUCGAUCCUCUGCCAGUAUCAUAUAGCAAGAUCCUCCCCUACCUGCUAAAGGAUGGGUCAAUUGUGCUGAAGGAGAUAACACCUGCAACUCUACCAUAUCCUCCAGGCUACGACGCCAAUGCUCACUGUGAGUAUCACAUGGGUGCCCCAAGGCAUACAAUAGAGAAUUGUAAGGCUUUCAAGCACAAGGUUCAAGAUUUGAUUGACAGUAAAGCACUUACAUUCACGCCAGUGAGGCCAAACGUUGCAACAAACCCCAUGCCGGCGCAUGCAGAGUCGAGUGAACCUCGAAGAUAAAGCUCCCCACCGGCCUGAACAAACAAAGCAAUUCCGCCGAAGAAUCCAAAGAUGAAGGCAUGUUCAUUUGAAUGAAGGCGAUCAUUAUGCCCUUCUUUACCAUUUCACAUUCUUGUAAUUUGAUCUUGUUUGUUUAAGUAUUGUAUGCUUUGAACAUUGUUGUUUUUAUUUGGUCUUAUUAAUGGGAUAAUUAUGCAUGCUUUGAAUCAAUCUUUCAUAUUCACUCAUAUUAUCACAUUUGCAUAUCACAAACACAUACUUUUUCACCUCACUUUCUUCAUCACACUAUUGUUAGUAAAUGUUGGAAGGAGGAUGACGAAAACAAAAUACUCAUAAUUACUGAUCGUAUGCUUUCGGAUAAAAUCCUACUAAUGAUGUAUAGACAUUGUUUCAAAUCCCCAAACACUGGAGAGAUAAGGAGUUAAUCCCUAGUCAACCACUUCGAGCCUAGAAGUAGGAGUUUCUUUCGGAUCUAAAAAAACCCUUACGCUUAACCUGGGGCAGGGUAGUGUUCAGUUAAUUUGACUACACAUUUAAAUUUACAAGAUGAAAUAUCCCAUACAAGGAUCAACCAUAUGACAUUCUUCACACACAUCUUGAAGUGUCGAAGGAACCAUACAAAUCCAAAUUUUAUGUCGGUUGUUCUGUAAUGACCAAUGACUUGGCAGUCUCAAUUUCAAAAAAGGUCAGAGAAAGAGCCCGCUAAGUCCAACACCUUAAAAGGGGACUUAGGAAAAAACAGGGGCAAUCCCGAUGGAUUAAAGCUGCAGACAAAGCGGUCCAUGCAAAAGUUAGGGAUCAAAACAAAAAUCAAGAGACUAUGAAAGUCUCCAACAAAACAAAACAAGAUUCAGUGACCACCAUACCAAAAUCAAAGGGUCACCGACAUCCAAAAAAACGAAAUAAGGUGGCUGCCAUUCCAAGAAACCUUGAAUCACCAUCUUUAUCCUUACACCUGCAAAAGACGAAUGUGUGUGAAUUAACUGAACAUGGGAUUGGAGAUCAUCAUGAAGAAAGGGUGGGUUAAAAUAAACUUUGAGCCUUAUAUCCUUUUGUUUCAAUAACCAUGAACCAAGCCACGUUACAACCCUCAAAAGACCUAAUUGAAGUAGGGUUUGUUCUGAAAGCAUACUAUAGCAAGGUAUUUUGUUUCAAUAACCAUGAACCAAGCCACGUUACAACCCUCAAAAGACCUAAUUGAAGUAGGGUUUGUUCUGAAAGCAUACUAUAGCAAGGUUGAGUAAACUGACUCCUAGAGAUUUGCUAAUAUUCUCUUCUCACUAUAUCACUCACACACUAGCUAAAUCAAGCACCGCGUUUGGACACAUGGUCCACUCGUCACACAUUACCACAACACUCCAAAUGAAUGAUUGUUUUUCAAAGCUUGCAUAACUAUUGCAUUAAAAUCACCAUUUCUUGGAUAACAAUUCUUAAUUGUCAGUCAGUACUUGACAUCAAGAAAAUUCCAAGAAGGGGCAAUUCAAGAGGCACUUGAUCGUUGGUGCUGACACAAAUCAAGACCAUCCUGUGAAUCAGGGGCAUGUCAUCUUUUGAUCAUGUUGACAUAAGAAGUAGCCAGUAUAAGACAAAUCUCCAAGCAUCGGUUGAUCAGGGAGGAAAGACACUUAAAUACUCAGGCAGUCCGGGGCAGGUUCCUCAAAGGCUAAUCAGGGGCAGACCAUAGCCAGAUUUGGACAUCAGAAAACAAACUCAGACCACGUCAUGGGAUAAUCACUCCUAAAAGUUUCCUGUCAAGGAGAAUUCCUUUGAACACCCUACAGUCAGGGGCAAGACGAUUUGCAAGGGGCAGAUUUCCUUCAUAUCUUCAAGUCAGUCAAGCAGAUUGCAUCAGACCUACAGUCAGGGGCAAGACGAUUUGCAAGGGGCAGAUUUCCUUCAUAUCUUCAAGUCAGUCAAGCAGAUUGCAUCAGACACUAGUGACUGCUUGAAUUCACAAGUGUCGAAAGUUCAUACCAAUACAAUAUCAUACCUUGACAAGAAUCCUUAGGGCACGUCAGGGGCACGAUCAUCAUGCGUUGAUCACGUCGCUAUGCUCAGUUACAGGCUGGCCAGACAUCUCAAAGGAAGAGAUCGAGAUCUUCUCGAAGACAAAUACACAAUGUAUCAGCAAGAGAUCAAACUUGGGGCACCAAGAGUAUCCGCAUCUACUGCGUGUUCAUCAUAUCAUCAACUACCGAGUGUCGGGAAGUCAGAUCCUUCCACCAACCGAUGGUCCAAUCUACAUUGACAAUUACCAGAAAGACCAAAGCCCACCUCGCUGGCAUCCACAUAAAACCAAAUAGAACCAGCAUUGGUUUCACAAAAUACAUUGCUUUUGAAAAGGGAGGCCAAUCCCAAACAAACCAAUCAUCCUUUGCAUUCAAACAUGCAUCACAUGCAUCAUAUGCAUCACCUCAUUACAUAAAUGCAUACAUGAUAUUUAUCCAUAUGACACAAAUCAAAAUCCAAGUUUUAGUCGUAGGCAUCCAGGCCAGCCCUCAGUUGAGUCAUUGUUUUUCUGAGUGAGUUCCUACCCUGCUAUCGGGCGUUCCCCAUGGAGUUACAUCUUUCAACCUUUUGUUGAUAAGAUGUUAUCCUCAGCUAAGUCAAACAAUGUUUCUCCAAACACUUACCGUGUUUCGCGUUGAGCGUCCCUCAUUGAGUCGUUUCAUGUAACCUUUUGUUGAUGGAAACUACACCUCCCUAGAGAGUAUUUGUUCUGCAACCUUUUGUUGGUGGAUACCCCAAGCAAGUCUUACUCAGUAAUGUUCCAACACUACUCAGCAAAUCAGGUUAACUGAACUUUGACAGUAGCCUUAUUUUUCCAAUAUUUUUUCUCACUAUCAUCCUUUUGGUGAAAGUCCGUUGAAGAAUAAUAUUGAUCAUCGUCCUGUUUAUGAUCACCGUUAUCCUUUUGGUAAUGGUAAAUCCUUGGCAUUUGUGAACUUACUGUCAUCCUUUUGGUGUCGACGAUCCUUGAAGUUUUGGGCCUAACCUUCAUCCUUUUGGUGAAUGGCGACCUCUGCAAUUAUUACAGUCUACCGUCAUCCUUUUGGUGUCGGCGAUCCUUAUGGUGAUAAGGCCCUUGUCAUUUUGGUUCAAUCAUCAUCCUUUUGGUGAUGACGUCCAGUUUAAUCCAAUAUCAUCCUUUUGGUGAUAGAGAAUAUGGAGUUCAGUUUAAGCUAUCAUCCUUUUGGUGAUGGUGACAUUUGGAAAGUCCAACCCCACUGUCAUCCUUUUGGUGUCAGUAAUAUUUGAAGUCAUUAUAACUUAUUAUCAUCCUUUUGGUGGUAACAAGUUUCAAAGUUAUGAUCUCACCUUCAUCCUUUUGGUGAUGGUGAUUGUGGAUUCAUUAUCAUCCUUUUGGUGAUAACGAGUUCUGUUGUUUGUAGUACCUUCAUCCUUUUGGUGAUGGUGACUAUUGACUUAUUAUCAUCCUUUUGGUGAUAACAAGUUUUGUUGAUUGGUCUUACCUUCAUCCUUUUGGUGACGGUGACCAUUUGAGUUAUGGGCUCAUUAUCAUCCUUUUGGUGAUAACGAGUUUUGUUUUGAUCUUACCCUCAUCCUUUUGGUGAUGGCGAUCACUGAGUCUGUUUCAGGUUAUCAUCAUCCUUUUUGUGAUAACAAGUUUUGAAGUUCUGUCCUUAUUAUCAUCCUUUUGGUGAUAACAAGUUCGGUUUGUUUGAUCUUACUGUCAUCCUUUUGGUGUCAGUGAUAUUUAAGGUUGUUGACUUAUUAUCAUCCUUUUGGUGAUAACAAGUUUGUGUCUUGAUCCUACCUUCAUCCUUUUGGUGAUGGUGAUCAAUUGCGUUAUGUGCUUAUUAUCAUCCUUUCGGUGGUAACAAGUUUCGUCUUUUAAUUAUACCUUCAUCCUUUUGGUGAUGGUUAUUGUUGACUUAUUAUCAUCCUUUUGGUGGUAACAAGUUUGUGUCUUGAUCCUACCUUCAUCCUUUUGGUGAUGGUGAUCAAUUGCGUGUGUGCUUAUUAUCAUCCUUUAGGUGGUAACAAGUUUUGUCGUUUGACAAUACCUUCAUCCUUUUGGUGAUGGUGAUUGUUGACUUAUUAUCAUCCUUUUGGUGGUAACAAGUUUGUGUCUUGAUCUUACCUUCAUCCUUUUGGUGAUGGUGAUCAAUUGCGUUGUAUGCUUAUUAUCAUCCUUUUGGUGGUAACAAGUUUUGUCGUUUGACAAUACCUUCAUCCUUUUGGUGAUGGUGACUGUUGACUUAUUAUCAUCCUUUUGGUGAUAACAAGUUUGUGUCUUGAUCCUACCUUCAUCCUUUUGGUGAUGGUGAUCAAUUGCGUGUGUGCUUAUUAUCAUCCUUUUGGUGGUAACAAGUUUUGUCGUUUGGCAAUACCUUCAUCCUUUUGGUGAUGGUGAUUGUCGACUUAUUAUCAUCCUUUUGGUGAUAACAAGUUGGUGUCUUGAUCCUACCUUCAUCCUUUUGGUGAUGGUGAUCAAUUGCGUGUGUACUUAUUAUCAUCCUUUUGGUGAUAACGAGUUUUGUCGUUUGACAAUACCUUUAUCCUUUUGGUGAUGGUGAUUGUUGACUUAUUAUCAUCCUUUUGGUGGUAACAAGUUUGUGUCUUGAUCCUACCUUCAUCCUUUUGGUGAUGGUGAGCAAUUGCGUGCGUGCUUAUUAUCAUCCUUUUGGUGGUAACAUGUUUUAUCUUUUAAUUAUGCCUUCAUCCUUUUGGUGAUGGUGAUUAUCAUCCUUUUGGUGAUAACAAGGUUUUGUUUUGAUCUUACUAUCAUCCUUUUGGUGAUGGUGAUCAUUGAGUUUCGACUUAUUAUCAUCCUUUUGGUGAUAACAAGUUUGUCUUGAUAUUACCUUCAUCCUUUUGGUGAUGGUGAUCAAUUGCGUGUGACUUAUUAUCGUCCUUUUGGCGAUAACAAGUUGUGUCUUUUAAUUAUACCUUCAUCCUUUUGGUGAUGGUGAUUGUUGACUUAUUAUCAUCCUUUUGGUGAUAACAAGUUUGUUGUGUGAUUAUACCUUCAUCCUUUUGGUGAUGGUGAUCAUUGAAGUUAUUUGACUUCUUAUCAUCCUUUUGGUGAUAACAAGUUUUGUAUUGAUCUUACCUUCAUCCUUUUGGUGACGGUGAUCUUUGAAGUUGAUGAGUCAACUAUCAUCCUUUUGGUGAUAGCCUUGAUACUAUACUCUCGGUAAUAGGAAACUUUAUCAGAAUAACCAUCAUCCUUUUAGUGACGGACAUCAUCCUUUUGGUGAUGAAAACCUUUAGAUUUGGAUUGUGUUUAACUUUCAUCCUUUUGGUGAUAGCAAGAUUUGUUGUUGAUCUUACCAUCAUCCUUUUGGUGAUGGUGAUCUUUGUUGUAUCCACUGUAACCAUCAUCCUUUUGGUGAUAACUACUGUUGAAGCUCGGUUUAUCCAUCAUCCUUUUGGUGAUGACAGUCCUGACAAUCAUGGUGAAUUCUAUCAUCCUUUUGGUGAUGACCAUUAACUUGGAUUGUCAUCCUUUUGGUGUCAGAAAACAUGUACAGUUUUGUCUUUACAUUAAAAAAAAAAAAAAAAAACUGUGCAAGAUUUGAAUGUUGACUCGAGGGUUGGCACUGAUCUGACAUUCUACCCCUACUACCUUGGUGCUGUUAGAAUCCAUUGCAUUUUCUUUCUGCAUCCAUUCCAUUGCAUUUCAAAUGACAAAAUUCGGAUCCUUUCGUAUUUAAUUACCUUCCACCACGAAUGUAUGAUGACCGUUGUCAUUCCUACCUUCUAGUUCAAGAUAAUUAAAUAGGGGCAGCCGUCGUACCCCAAUUUUGUCCGGGCAUAUUUAAAUUUUUUCAUACAAUCGAUCUCAUUUUAUUUUUUUUCAUCACAUACAUACCAUUACAUACAUUUUCAUCAUGAAUAAAUGCCUAAAAUGUCAGUCGAAAUGAAUUUAUUGGAGAAUACAGACAAAAUCAGUUGAAUCGUUAAAAUUUGAGGAAAACAGUGUAUUUUUCAAAUAAUAUGUUUUGUGCUGAUAAACAUCAUGAAUAAAUGCCUAAAAUGUCAGUCGAAAUGAAUUUAUUGGAGAAUACAGACAAAAUCAGUUGAAUCGUUAAAAUUUGAGGAAAACAGUGUAUUUUUCAAAUAAUAUGUUUUGUGCUGAUAAUUUUGGUGUGAUUGAUUUAAUUUUCCGAAUAAAUUUGUACUCGAUUUUUGUUUUAAUGGGUCAAUAUUUUUGAAGAAAUUAGAAUGAUAUUUAAUUAAAUAUUAGUUAGAUUUUUUAAAAUAUUAGUUAGUUUUUUUAGAUAUUAAUUAGAAUCAAAUAUUAAUUAGAUUUUUCUUUGUUGAUUUUAUUUUUCUUAAAUAAAUAAUAAGUAUAAAAUAAAUAAAUAGUAAAUUAUAGCAUUGGAUUCUUGUGAGGAAAUGCCAGCUUGCAUAUUUUCUUCACCCUUCACACGUGUCCCUCCGCUCACAAUCUCUCAAGACUCUUCUCUCCACUAUUUCUCCCACUCCCUCAUUUUCGUCCCUCACAGACACUCACACUCCACUCCCCAACGUCUCUCUCCACUGCUAACAACCUCACGCUCUCUCUCUCUAAAAGACCCUCACCUUCCACUCAUUUUUACGGACAACCCACAAACCCUUCUUUCACUCUCUCUCACGCAAAAGAGAAAACAGAAAGAGAAGGCGGAAGAGAAGAAGAAAAACCCUUCUUGUUCUCCAACCCCGCCGCAAACCUCCGAACCCUUUCUCCUCUCACUGACCAAAAACCCAUCACAACCUCCGUCUCCACUACCUUCAAAACACAAGCUCAGCCGCCGUCAACCUCCACUGCCGCCGCGGAUUCACCACCGCGAAACCAUCGACCACCCAAAACCCACCGUAAACCUUCAAAAUCCCAAUCGUCAAACCCUUCUUCAUCACAACACAUUCACCGCCGCCACUACCUUAAACCUCCAAAUCCACCAAACCCUAAACCAUCGCUCACCCCCAAUCGCCGCUCACUUUGAAUCUCCGCCGUUUACCACCAACACCACAACCAACAAAUACCCUCCUUCAACACAAACCCUCACACCAUCAUCGAAACCCUCACUCAACAACCGUUUCAACCAUGGCACCACCCAGCUCGGAACGGCAAAACGCGUCCCCAAGGUAGACGUUCCGCCGGAACAGGUGCAGUCAAAAAGCGACGGCUUGGAUCUAUACCAACAAUAUCUUGAAUAGGAUAGUGGAUCUGUCGAAGAUCUUACGGCGCUCACAAGAUACCUUUCUGUUCUAAUGGAAAUCCCGCGACAACCAUGAACUCAGAGCAGCAAACAGAACAUGACAAUUUGAUCAUUUUGGUAGUAUUUCGGUUAAAGCGUCGGAUUUAAGUUUAUGUUGUUUCUAAUGAGUUUACAUUCAGUUUUCAGAUAAGCGAUAUACUUUAAAUUUGCUGCUUUUACCUUCUGUAUGACUACAGUCUUCACGUUUGAAAAUUAAUUAUGGUGACUCAUGGAUGUUUCGAUAGGGUUUCCAGCUUGGUUUGUUUGUGUUGUUUAAAUUGAGGAUACGAAUGAGUUAGUUUAUGGACUGAGAACCUGUAGAUAAUGAACGACUGUGAUCUUGUUUUGAUUAUAGCAUUUGUUUCUUUCCUAUAAGUGUUUGUAUUAAAAUGUGAUUAGAUUACCGCUUGAAGCUUGUUUAGACAUUACAAGUGUGUUAUAUUGACUGUUAGAUGUAUUAGUUUUGUGGGAAGAUUUUUUGUGAAAUUAAAGUUUAUUUUCCCAUCAGUGUUAUCAAUAGAACAAAUGGAUAUUGGUUGAAAUGCUGAACAGUUCGUUUCUUUAUUCUGUACUAGCUGAAUUUGGUUUUGCAUUAGCUGCACCUUUUGAGGUCUCCUUGGACAUGAUUUAUUUCUAUUCUAUUCUAAUAAGAAGUCAAGUAGAU